AGCACACACAUCUACCUGUUCUAUUUCCAACUCAUUCUCUUCUUCCUCUACGUACGCGGAGCAAUCGUAUAUAUAUUGUUCACUGCGAGCAUGGCUUCUUCUUUCUUCGUCGCUUUCGCGGCUCUAGCCAGCAGCUGCCUUCUCCUCCUCCAUUCGCGCAGCGUCUCAGGUUGGCUCGACAGCGGCGCGACGUGGUAUUAUCUCCGCGAAGGCGCCGGCACCGACGGUAGGUGUAUAGUCGCAUGGACUAUGCAUGCAGACCUCCAUGAUAAGGGUGCAAUGCGUGCUAGGAUGUGUAUACAUCAGCUAUGUAUGUGUACUGACUACUGAGUACUGACGUGUGCAUGAGCGUGCUGCAGGUGGUGCGUGCGGGUACCAGGGCGACGUGGAGAAGCCGCCGUUCUCCUCCAUAGUCACGGCGGCCGGCCCCUCCAUCUUCAAGGACGGCAAAGGCUGCGGCGCUUGCUAUCAGGUUAAAUGCACCGGCAACGCCGCUUGCUUCGGCCGCCCGGUGACCGUGGUUGUCACAGAUGAGUGCCCCGGCGGCGGGCCGUGUCUGGCCGAGGCUGCCCACUUCAACCUCAGCGGGAAGACGUUCGGCGCCAUGGCCAAGCCCGGCCAAGCCGACAACCUCCGCGACGCCGGCAACAUUAGAAUCCAGUACGACCGGUAUGCUCUCGCUAGCGCACACACUCAUGCCUAGUGCUCGCCUCCGUGCAUGUUCGUGUGAUCCAUCGAUCGUUUGUCAUCUCCUUGAUUUCUUCGACCGCAGGGUUCCGUGCAAGUGGCGCGGGCUGGACAUCGCCUUCAGAGUGAAGGCUGGCUCCAACCCGAACUAUCUCGCGGUGCUCAUCGAUCAAGAGUCCGGCGACGGCGACCUGUCGGCGGUGGAGCUUCAGCACCGUGGUGGCAGCUGGGCGCCGAUGCAGGAGUUCUUGGGCGCGGUGUGGAAGUACAGCUCCGGGUCCACCCUGCAGGCGCCCAUAUCGAUCCGCCUCACCUCCAGCUCCGGCAAGAAACUCGUCGCCAGCAACGUCAUCCCCUCCAGCUGGCAGGCCGACAGGACCUACCGAUCCAUCGUAAACUACUGAUCGAGUGAUUUAUCAGUCUGUCGAGUAUGUGUUAAUCCGGCCGUGUACUUUCUGAAGUUGCUUUAUAUAUAAAGCGGAAUGAAAGCCUGUUUCGAGAGUAUGUGUUAAUUAGUUCUGUGCCUCUAUAUGUAACUAGUAAUAAUGUACGUGCAAUGCACGUUUAUAUUAGGUGGGAUAUUAGUUGCACGUUAUAUUAGAUAAGAUGUAUCUGUUGCACGUUGGUAUUUGGUGAGAUAUCAAUUACUUUUUCGCGGGAAUGGUAGGAUAUUAAUUACAUGGCAGAUUUCAAGGGAUAGCGUUGAGUCAAACGUGUUUAUAACCAAUGGCAAUGAUGGGUAAUUAGAGCGUUAAACGUGUUUGGUGCUCAACAUUGGAGCGAUUUGAACCGCUAGAUAACAUGAUUUGACGGUCUUGAUGGUUUGGAUCUGCCCAUUUGGGUAUUUUUAUAUUGGUAUAGAUAUAGAUAUAGAUUCAUGUCAAUUUGGAAGAGUUGCUUUCAUGCUUGAAAGAUUGCCACUAACAUGAAAAAAUUUGUUUGCCUGAAAUAUUUGGCGGAUCUGUUGUAUACUUGUAUAUCUGUUUAAAACCCUCAAGAUUAGCGCCAACUGAGUUGUUCUUCAAUCCUUCGAGUAAGUUGAAAUUCAAUCAAAAAAACUCACUUAAUUUAGGAUUUAAAAGAAAGGAAAAGCAUAUUUUUCAUCAUUAAACUCUUGCGAAAGUUUACAAAUCGCCGCUCAACUCCAAAAACAUCAAAACUUAGUCUCUCAACUAAUUAAACUAGAUAUGUUUCAUCCUUGAUAACACUUUGGUCAAAACCAGCAGCCAACUAAACCGGCUGGCUCAUGGCCGAUCAACAAAGCGGUGGCGUGCAUGGGACAGGGCCAGGGCGCGGCGGGUGCUCGCCCAGAGCACGACCAGGCACAUGGGAGCAGUGGCAGAGCGUGAACCAAAUACUAGGUGGGGUCAAAUGAGUGUAUGACAUAGAAAAGGGUAGGGUGAUCAGAGACACCAGACGAUUAGUAGAGCGAUUAGCAGAAAAAAUAAGCAUAUUUGGCAAAAAUUCCACUACCAAGGGGUGGCCAGGGCCCGGAAUUGUCCCCACCACGCUCCGCCACUGCAGGGGAGUGAACGGAGGAGGACGCGCGUGGGGCUGCAGGAGUGCGCGCAAGCGAGACUGCGACCAGGGGUGCACGCGGCUGUGGUGCAGGAGGCCGGCCCAGCUUGCGGCCAUGGCGCACGGUGGCGUCGGCUCGAGGGGGAAAGGGGCUAGGUGGCAUGGACGCCUCCUCCCCCUGUGCUUGGUGCAUGCCAUGGACGCCAGAGAUUUAUGAGGUCGACGAAUAGAAUCCAGAGAGCCUCAAUUGUUGGCGCCCUUGUCAUCUUCUCGGCCUCCUGGUGACCCGCUGUCGUGCCCUGCUCUCCUCCAGCGUGCCUCCUCUUUCUUUCUUUCUUCGUUUUUUCCUUUGUUUUCAUCAGUUUUCUCGCUUUCAUUCUUUUGAAUUGGUUUCUUUGGUUUUUCAUUCUUUUGUUUUUGUUUUCUUUCUUUUUCUUUUUGGGUUUCUUUGCUUUUCUUUAGUUUUUGUUGAUUUUCAUCGGUUCGUUUUUGUUCAAUACAUAUUUUUCAGUACAGAUUCAACAUUUUUUAUACAUGUUUAAUAUUUUUUACAUACAUGAUUAACAUUUUUGAAAUCUUAUUUUUUGGAUGUCUACUUUUUUUCCAUACACAUUGUACGUUUUUGGUAUAUAUCUAAUGUAUUUUUCAAAUAGAAGUUUUACAUAUUUUCAUACAUGGUCAACACUUUUGGUAUACACACUUAACUUUUUUCAAAUGUUUGAUUAACAUCUUUGAAGUGCAAGAUUCACAUUUUUUAAUACAUGGGCAAUAUUCUAUACAUAUUUAACAUUUUUCAAAUGCUCGAUUAACAUUUUUCAAAUAUAUUAAAAAAAUAACACAUGGUCAACAUUUUCUACAUACACAUUUAGCAUUUUUCAAAUACUUGAUUUUUUAGACGAUUUCAAAUACUUGAGUAACAGGUGAAUUUUGGGCUCGGUUAAAAGAGCCGAUGGCCCAUUCAGGUGGCCCAGCCAGCCCGAACACCCCCUCCGGCGCGUCCCGCACCCGCAGACGCAGGAAGCACUCCCCCUGUUAUCCAAGAAGUACACUUUUCCGGCGCCCCAAGGUCGACGGCCGCCUCCGCCCGCCCGCUCGCCGCCGCGACUCCUUCCUCCCCAUGCGGCGUCCUCGGGCGAUUCGAUGACCAUAGCAUGUGGUUUCUCUCGCUUCCUCAGCACCACGCGCGUGCAUUCCUCCACAAAUCGCGUCCUCAGCCUCUGGUUCGCCUCCUGUCCCUGCUCAUCCGCCUCCGCCUCCGCCUGCGCCUCGGAGCCGCCGGAGAUUGCGGGUGACCCGGAUACCGUCAGGGAAGGGCGGGCGGAGAUAUUCGCGGACAAGUCCAAUUCGGUCUUCUUCAACAAGGCUCAGGUCUCGCCUCCUUUGCUUCCUGUCUACGUGUGCUGUAGAUUUGAUUUUCUUUUGUCAAGCUGGUGCCAUUGCUGCUUCACCUGAUGGUUGCACGAACAGUAGUGCAGUCGUUCAUUCUGGAAAAUAAUAGUAGUGGUCAUCUGUUUGAUGAUUUCGGUUCAUUUCGUUAGAACUGCAAGAAUUACGGACUAAACAAGUUGCUAAUAUACUGCUAGAACCCAUGGCUACUGUAGCUUCGCUGUCAAACAGUAUCAUCUCAACUCACAAAAGAACAAUUUACCGUAGUUACUAUUCAAUAUUCCCUUUGGAAAUUCGAAUUUUGGUCUGAUGGUAGCUUUAGAAAUAUGUAUGUGUAAGUUCUUUGUACUUAUGAAUUCAGUUCUCGCCAGGUUAACAACAGAGACCUUUCCAUUGCCGUAUUGAGAUGGUUUGUUUUGAAAAGACAGGAAGAGCAUGAUGCCCAAUUAAAAGGUAUCCGUCUGGACACAAUUCACACUGCUAGUUUACAAACCUUUUCCGUUUAAAAGGUACACCAAUGCUUGAGCGAUUUCUGUGAUGAAGCAGGCAGGCGUGCUGAUAUACCGCCGGAGCAGCAUGCCGAUGGAUUAGACCCUGCUACAACAGGUUCUGAAGACACUGCAUUGAGAAAGGAAUCGAGCCUUAAAGCACCUAAAGUUCUUGAGGUGCAUUUAUGAAGUCCUGUUGUUUAAUAAUGAUCAGUUCAAGCUGUGAUGUGCUAUGAUAUAGCAUAUUUCUUCUGGAAGUUCUCCCAUUUUUAAAUUAUGUACAUAACCUUAGUAUGGCAGUAGUAUUUGCAUAAACAAUGCUGAUCUUUUCACUUCAGAUCCUUCUUAUCAUGAAUUUUGUAGGCUUUGGCUGCAUCAGGGUUAAGAGCUAUCCGAUAUGCACUUGAGGUGGAUGGAAUUGGGGAAGUUAUAGCUCUUGACAAUAAUGAAGGUACAUUCUGAUAUCUCUGUCAGGAUGUUGCAGAUGACUUCUCAGAAAUCUUUGGAGUCCUUGGAAAUAACACCCUAUUUUAUGUCUGAUGAUGCUAAACAUUUGUUUGAUUAACUGCAGUUGCUAUAGAAUCCUGUAAGAGAAAUAUCUAUCACAAUGGCAUUCUUGCAUCUUCGAAGGUGGUACCACAUCUUGCUGACGCUCGCAUUUACAUGCUCACUCACCCUAAAGAAUUUGAUGUGGUAUGGCUUUACUACUUUACUUUAAUAGAAACGUAACUCUCCAAUCAUUUGUUAUGUAUCAGUUUAAGUGCCAAGGGAAAUUAAAUGGCAGUUACACAUUUUUGGACAAGUAACUAUUGUAUUUGCUAUAUUACUUCAUAUUUGUGUUCCUGACUGAGUAGAAAAUCAAAUCAAGCAGAUAUAAAUUAUGGUUCUGUAUAUAAGCUGGGAAAUUCAAAACUCAGUGUCGUAUAAUUUAGUAUUGCCUAACUUUUUUGCAUAUCACGCUGCAAUGCUACAAUCCUACAAAAUUAAGAAACAAAAACCAUAUAGUCGAUAUGAUUACUUGUGUGAAUCUGUUUCUAGACACUUGCAGCGUGUCAAUACUGUAAUGCCUUAUGUCUUGCAUAGAAAUCAAACACUUGGUGUACCAAGAUUUUUUUUAUAUUUACUUUCUUACAUAUAGGAAAUACUGGCAUAGCGCACUCACAUCAUUGAUGUCAUAUGGCUAUUCCUCUGUUUAUAAAUAUUAAGUAUGUGAAUUUUGGUAUGUAUGGUAUCCAUACACAUAAAGUUUAACUAUUAUGUUUUGCAAUAUUGCUGUGGACAAUGGCCCCGGCAGUAAGAGUAUCAUGGUGGCAGCAGCAACUGCAGGUGCGGCAAGAACGGCCAGUGUGUCCAGCACUCCAGCAGCAAGAUGGUCAGGUUAUUCGGGAGUCAGAAACCAAUACCAGUAGCAGCGUUCCGUUAGAGUCCGGUGUCCAGCAAAAAUCAGGAAGUUGAAUCUGUAAUCAAUUGGGAAGUAUGUUAGAGAUUGAGUCAGUUAGUAGAAGUAUAGUAUGUAUCCCAGUGAGCUUAGUUGGUAAUUGGUUCAGACAUCUCUUUAUAUAGAUGUUAUUCUUAUCCCCAUUCUAGUAUCUCAUCUUUUCACGCUGGGCCGUCCUGGCCAUCUUCUCUGCGGAGUAGCUUCAUGACACUACCAAAGAAGUCUAAAAGGACAGUGUUAUGAAUGUACUUUUGGUGAAUGAUGACAGGUCUAUUUGUCACCUUUCCAUGCAACCAAUAUAGAUAUUUCUGUAUGUUGUCAAAGUUAGCGAAUUUUGAUUGCACACAUGCCAGGGUGACACAUUGACCAACAGAACUACUUCUUUGCAGUAAAUUGUUAAAAUCAUAUCAUAUCCUCUUGUUUUGUUGCCAUCUGCACGUGGUCACUUUUCCUCACGUUUGAGGAUAAUAUGCAUCCAUAUCAUGCUGUAUUGAUGUCCUAUAUACUUGCUGAAUCAGGUUGAUCUUGAUCCUUAUGGAUCACCAGCUGCAUUCCUUGAUUCAGCAGUUCAAUGUGUUGCAGAUGGUGGUAUCUUGAUGUGCUCAGCUACAGACAUGGCAGUGCUUGCCGGGGGCAAUGCAGAAGUUUGUUUUUCCAAGUCAGUUUAAUAUUCAAUUAUCAAUCAUAAACUGCGUGACUACAUCAUUUAAUUCUUACCAUAUCAGUUAUCUAUACCUGCAGAUAUGGUUCUUAUCCAGUAAGAGGCAAAUACCGCCAUGAGAUGGCCUUGAGGAUUCUUCUUGCCUGCAUGGAGGUCAGACCUGAGAGUCUCUUCUAUUCACAUAAUCAUUAUGACGACCCAUCAAUUCAUUUUCCUUGUUUUCCUUGCAGUCACAUGCGAUCCGCCACAAGCGCUAUAUAGUUCCUGUCAUAUCAGUGCACAUGGAUUUCUACAUUAGGGUUUUUGUGCGAAUCUUCACGUUGUCUCCUGCCUCUGCCUCUCCAUGGUGUUUGUAAUAUGGUUUCACACAAAUUGAUCUUACCAAUGUGCCUCUUUCACUGUGCAGGUCAGCUAGCACGGUGAAAAGCUCACCUCUCAAAUUUUCACAUGUAUAUCAGUGUGUUGGUUGCAAUUCAUUUCACUUACAAAAUGUUGGAAGAAUAAACUCAAAGGUAGACUUCUCUUUUCUUGUUUCAUUUUUUUGCAUGGCAUGCUUAUGGAUAUGAUCCUCUGAUCCAGGAUAAGAGGAAUAUUCCUCUACCAAAUUUUUGCCCUACUGUGCCUCAAGAGUGUUCUGAGUGUGGCGGUAAAUUUGUUAUGGGGGGGCCUAUAUGGAGUGAUCCAAUACAUGACAGGGAUUGGGCUACUUCCAUUUUAUCAAAUAUACGAGCAACGAGUGGUUUAUAUGAAGCUUAUGCAAAAAUUUCAGCUAUACUAACGUCAGUAUCAGAGGUACUAUUUUGCUUUGUCUUCUCAUUUGGUUAUGCUUAUGUUGUUUGAUGAUUGUAUGCUAGAGAAAAUGGAACAUGAACAGGACUAAAAGUGUACAGAUUAGUGAACUUUAAUGCUUUUAAUACAUUAUUUUUUUAGAAAGGCGCUGAUAGGCUAGAAGCUAUUUGCGGAUGUGCAUAUAUUCUUAUUCAUUACUUGAAUGAUAUAUGUACAAGGGCCAAUGGGCAUGCAAAUAUAUUUGCACUUAAAUCACUUUGUAUGGUUAUUUUUAGUGUCAGGCUCGGGUUUUGUGUAGUAAAAUACCUCAUAUCUCUGUAAGGCGAAGUCACUAACAAAAAGAAAAAAAGAACAAUAAUACUGAAUAAAUUCUUGAUUUUGUUGAUAGUGAAAAUGAACUUUCCGUUAGAAUAAAAGGCCAGCAGAAUGGCUGCCCACUGGUUGAGUAUCACUGUAUCAGGAUUCGUUCCAGUGCACCGAUGCGUUAACUGGAGGAGGUCUACGCAUGCUACAUGGUUACACACUCCGCAAUAGAAACUCAUAUGGAAACAGUUAAUGCCGGUGUCCAGCAUUAUCCUUGCUUUUUUGAGUAUAACUUUUAACCCUUGGUUUACACACUCCUCCAAUUGAAGUGAUAUGGACUUGCUUGCAUCUGAUUCUAGAAAGGUGUCAAACAUUCCCAGACCAAAAGGUAGCGACAAAUCUUUAUGUAAAUGGCCUGCCUGAUAUGCAUUCUGGAAACCCAUUGGAUGCCCUGUGUUGUGUGUAACAUCCCAGAUAUCUCCCCUACCUGGUGAAAGCUACCGCACUACCUGAUUACCACCGAAUCUGGACAUGUUGAGAAUGAUUAACUGUGUGAUUGAUUAAUUGAGUCAUAUGGAUGUUAUCUGUUAUAAUUCUAAAUUGUCUGCCGUGGAUGUCCCCAUAAACACAGGAGGCUUUGCCAAAUUUGAGUAUUUCGUAGAGUUGGUGGUAAUCAGAUAGUGUGUUAACAUCGCCAGGUAGGGGAGAUACCUGGGAUAUUAUACUGUGCUCAGAAUCUGCAAAAAAAACAAAAACGAGAAUGUCAGAAUCUGCAACUUGCACCAGAACAAUGCCAUUCCUGACAACAAUCUGUCUACCACGAUAUGUAUCUGGUAGGAAAGAACAUCAACCUUCACUCUCAGCAGCUGGUAUCCUUCAUGCCACACCAACUUUAUUUCUGGCAAUUUGGAAUACCAUUUCCACCAAGCAGGUCAGCUCUUCUUGGGAGCCAUAACCUCUAGUUCUUAGACAUGAUGUUAUGCUAAAAUAAAUGGCCCGAUUUGAAAUAGCAUGCAUUAAAACAAAGAAUCUCUGAAUCAAACAUACAGUGAGAUGUUAACAUUCUGUUGUUUAUAUUGGAUCCAUAAAUCACAAGGGAUUUUCUUGUGCAGGAAUUGCCCAAUGCACCUUUAUUCGUCAGUCUUCACAGUAUAUGUGCAACAUUGAAGUGCACCAAUCCAACCAUGGUUAUGUUUCAUUCGGCUAUAAGAAAUGCUGGGUAUCAAAUAUCGGGUAGCCAUGCGGAUCCGCUAGCUCUGAAAACAGAUGCGCCAAUGUCUGUAAUUUGGGACAUCAUGCGAUGUUGGGUAUGAUAGAAAUCUCAGAUUUUCUUGGUUAAUCAGACACAGCAGACUGUUUCCUUAAUUGGCUUCCUGUGCCUGCAGGUCAAGCUUCACCCGGUAAAAUCUCAACCUGAGAAUCUUCCAGGUAGCAGGAUACUUUCCCAAGAGCCUCAAUUGCAGGUAUAGAUCAUAAAACACAGCUUUGUAUCCUUUUAUGAACAUGAGAAGUAAAAUGUUUCUAUGCAAAAAUGAGUUACAUAUGCUUGCAAUUUAUUUGCUUAUUUUAAGCUUGAAUUUUUACUUUAUGGUGUUGUGAUCAGACAUCAGAAGCUUGUGUUUAUUUGUUGUAUUAAUCUGACAGAACUAUGUGAAGGUAACCAUGAGUGACUUGGACACAGUAUUAGUAUUCCACUCUUGUUAAGCUUGAGCUGAGCUAAGGGCUCUUCUCAUUAACGGCGCUCUGUUUCCCGAAUGUUUUAAUCGUUGUCUGAAUGUUAUGUUUAAAUGAAAGCAAGCCAUUCCUUGUACUGUUGGUGUUUGGUUUUAUGUAUCUCUGUUUUUCCUAGCACUAGUAAGCUCUCUGCUGGGAUUUCAAUUGGUACAAGUAACCAGAAGUGAUCAAUUUUUACUGGGUCCUAGCUCUCUCCUGGUAGAACCCUGUCUAUUUUGCUGGUUUUAAAUGUCUCUGGAUACUUUGGUCAAAAUUAUAGAAACCCAGCUGAAAUCUCCGAAACCAUCUGUAGAGACACCUCAAAUUAUUGUGCACAGAGACCUAAUACUGACCUGAUGUUGCGCUAACUGGAAGCAUACAAACUGUUUUAUUUUUUUAUUGGUUUAGAAGGAUCAAUUAUUGCUCUGUUUUGCACACCAGUCACAGUUUAGCCACCACUUUGUUCAUUCCAUAUGUUAAGGUAGGUGUUUUCCCUUCGCCGACAUAUAUUCCCCGACUUCCCGUGUAGUGAUUAUUCCAGAAAUAUGCUUAUCUGUGGACAGAUGUUAUAUAAACUAAGCAAUUAUACAAUUCGACCUUUCAUACUUCUGAAGCCUCUGUUAUUCCAUUCAGUAUUCCAGUUGAUUUCAGUGAUUACUUUCCUAUAUCUAAUUUGUGUCCCUUUUUUUUUACUCGUUUGACAACUACCAGGCAUCGUUCUCUCAAGCAACUGGGGGUUUAGUUGCACGGAAGAGCCCAAGAUUUCUACCUAAUCCUGAAAAACACUGGGGUCCUAAGAUGAAGGCCGGUAGACCACUGAAGAUACUUCCCAUUGACAAAUUGUAACUUUUUUUUUCUACUCUUGCUACACGAAGCUGGACAUGUGACAUUCUUUUUUAUUCUGAAAUGGAACAUAGAGAAAAUUCUGAAAAUCUAAUCUAUAGCCGUGUCCACACUUGCUACCCGGUGCGGCGGGUUUCUGUUGAUUCUGGGAUGUGAACCUAAGCACCUCACUGAACCAGCCCACAUGAAGAGGUUGGUCGAGGGUAUAUGAUCCCUCAGAUGAGUAUAUGUAACCGAAUGCUGAACCUGGUUGGUGGUUUCAUUACAUACGGAGCCGGGGAGGGCCUCCCUGUUUUUUCUAAAAAACAAUAACUGAUGCAUGCUCUGUAAAUAUGACAUUGUUCUUUGGUCUCCUUCGAGCUCGUCAUGCUGACUUACCUAUCAAGUGACUGAAUGGCCAGCCAUCUAUGCUGCACAUUAGUGAGAGCACAGAUGGGGUAUGAUGCAGGGAAACACCGUGCCAAAGAGGAGGAACUAGCAAGUGUAAAAUACAGGUGGUGUUGGUUAAUUCACGAAAGGGUCGAUGCUCUCACCAUUAUCUACUCUCCAAAUACUCCCUCUGUUUUUUUUACUUUGCAUAUAAGUUUUCUCUCAAGUCAAACUUCAUCAAGUUUGACCAAAAUUAUAGGAAAAAAUAUCAACAUUCAUCAUAUCAAAUAAAUGUAAUGCAUCAUGAAAUUAUAUUUUAUAUUGUACUCCCUCCGUUCCUAAAUAUAAGUCUUUGUAGAGAUUUCACUAUGGACUACAUACGGAGCAAAAUGAGUGAAUCUACACUCUAAAAUGCAUCUAUAUACAUCCGUAUGUGGUUCAUGGUGAAAUCUCUAUAAAGACUUAUAUUUAGGAACGGAGGGAGUAUAUCUUUAAUAUUAUAGACAUUCAUACUUUUAAGUAUAACUUUGGUCAAAAUUUAUGAAGUUUGUAUUCCUACAAAUAAGCUUUGCUAGGCCAAGGAAGAGCCCUUCUUUGGUUCAGUGAUUAACAACUAUCCAUUUGUCCGAGGAAUUUGAGCACACAAGGAAUAAGGUGAUUCCAAACAAGCGCCACACUUGCUUAGCAAGCAUUGCCAAGUUAAAAGAGUGAAUACCUCGAAACCUUCGCCCACAAAAAAAAUCUCAAAACCUCAUACCAGAUUUAUUGUUGGGAAAGCAUAACUUUCAUCACGCCCACCAAUGUAUUUUCUUGAUGUGUCCGUUGUCCCUCACUAUAAGUUGUGUCGUUAGAUAUAGCUUUGCAGACCUCUUUCAGCCAAAAAGAAAAAAAAAUUGAAACAUGGGCAAAAGGUUUUUCCGCAUUUCAAUACUUAAGAAGAAGCUUAAAGGUUAGAACACACGCCCGAGGGCGCCAAAACGACCUUAAAAGAACUACUGUUGCGACAUCACGAUUGUGUUGAAAUGUUUCGCACCGGCGAUGGCCCAACGAGCAGCCUCUCGGCGGAUGUUGGCGAGGAUAGCCAUCGGCGAAGCGUGCACAUUCUGGAACACCCUUGCCUUCCUCUCAGUUUCAGAUUCCCCAAAAUCCUAACCUAUGGGCGUGAUUAGGGGAGCGCCUGUCGAGGCGAUUUCGAGGCGACCGGAGGCGGGAUCCUGCGAUCCGGUGAUUACGACGGGAGAUUCUGAUCGAGAAGAAGGAGAUGGAUCAGGAAAAGGAUUGAGGACGCAGUGGGGAAGAGAGGAUCCACUAGGGUUGAGGGAUGAGUGGAUCAAAACCAGAGAGGCGGUCAAGCGGAUCGCAGGGCGAAGGAGGGCAGCCGACGGCAAUAGACAGAUGAUCACCGGGGACAAGGGAUUACCUUCCCCAGUACUAUGGAGAAAAUCAAGAAUAAGGUAGAUCAGAUGAGAAAGGAUUUGUCGGGAAGAUUGAUGGACGGAAUUCAUGAGCGUAUAGUUGAGGGCGGUGAAGGACCAAAGCAGAGGGAUCCCCAAGAUAAGGAUGCAGAUCAUAUCGACAAAGAGAUUGCUCAUACAACAAAGGAAAGAGACCAGAAGUUGCCUGCAACAAGAAGAUCUGUGCCAAGUAUUGAGGAUAAGUCUGGGUGUAUAAAGAGUCCGGUCGUGGCAGAGAAUCCACCUCACCUUUCAUCCAGUCCACACAAAGACAUAUACACCAAGAGCGGUUUUGCAAUGGCGGAUCGGUAUCUGGGCAAAAACAAGGCGACGAUGAUCUCCGGUGAGGAGGUCGACUCCAGCGGCAAGGAAGAGCUGGGCUCACGGCCGCUGCUUCGCGGCGGCUCAUCAAGGGGCCGGGACGACCUGUAUCGCACCCCCGCUGGCCUUCGAGAGGCGAACCAGGUGGUGGCCCCUAGUUUCCCAGUGAACAUGGGGGCGCCGGCACCAAGCGUGGUGGAACUGGACCUCUCUAGGGAGAGAGAGGCCAUGCGCUCCAGGUGGAUCGCAAUCGGGCUGUUCUUCUCGGUGCAGCUUUUCAGCAUCGGGGGACUUUUCGGCGAGCUCAGAGGCAAGGGUGGGCUGAGGGGUCGCCUCAGCUACACCUCACUGAAGAACAACCGUUUCCUGCUUGAGUUCGAGCGGGAGGGCGAUCUCCGGUUCAUCCUCAACAAUGGACCAUGGACGCAUAAGGGCGAUGCCUUCCUCAUGGUGGAGGUGGAUGGCAGCGCCCGCCCGGGUGACGUCGAGGUCGCCCACAUGCCGAUCUGGGUGCGCAUCUUCGACGCCCCCCAAUCAUGCUCUUUGAACACGUUGCUCGGGAGCUUGGAGCAGAACUUGGUAAGGUUCUGGAGGUAGAUGCGGAUAGGGAAGGUAGGAUUUGGGGGGACUACAUGAGGGUCCGCAUAAACCAUGAUGUCGAUGAACCCCUCCGUAGCGAACUAGAAUCACAUGAUCUGGCCAAGGGCAAAGUGUAUGUACUGAAUGUCAAGUAUGAGAGGUUGCCUAGGUUUUGUUGUUAUUGUGGUCACCUUGGACAUGGGCAGCGCGACUGUAAGCUGCCGGAGGACCUCCAAGAGAUGAGGUUCCCGGCAGCACUGCGCUCGUCCCCGUUCAGAAGGAGCAACCACAGGGGUGGGUUUGUAGUGCCAGAGGCAAGUAGCGCCCGUCGAUUUCUGCACUUUGGGACAGAAGACACCGGACCGGCAAAGACAGCACCGGCAAGGAUAGCAACUGAGAAAUACAACUCCGUGCCGGAUGAUGUGCUGACCGACCCGCUGGUGCAAAAGGCUAUUGAAGCGGUUAGUGCAUUCAGGUUGGAUGCAGAAAGGAUCAGGCAAGCGGGGCAAGGGCUGGUAUCACAGUAUGCUGGUCUAGAUGGUGCUAAAGCAGCUGGUGCUAUAACGAAGACGACAGAUGAAGACGGGACGAGCUCUAUACCCACCACCCCUAUUCAUGAUCCAGCAGCAUAUCAGGCCAAAGAAGAACAGAUGAGCCUCCCCCAAGGUCCACCACCUCCACUCCAGGUCACUGUGUUGGGGAACGUAGUAAUUUCAAAAAAAUUCCUACGCACAAGCAAGAUCAUGGUGAUGCAUAGCAACGAGAGGGGAGAGUGUUGUCCACGUACCCUCGUAGACCGAAAGCGAAAGCGUUUAUCACAACGCGGUUGAUGUAGUCGUACGUCUUCACGAUCUGACCGAUCAACUACCGAACGCACGGCACCUCCGAGUUCAGCGCACGUUCAGCUCGAUGACGUCCCUCGAACUCCGAUCUAGCCGAGUGUUGAGGGAGAGUUUCGUCAGCACGACGGCGUGGUGACGAUGAUGAUGUUCUAUCGACGCAGGGCUUCGCCUAAGCUCUGCAACGAUAUUAUCGAGGUGUAAUAUGGUGGAGGGGGGCACCGCACACGGCUAAAAUAUCGUAUAUCAAGUGUGUCUAGAGGUGCCCCCCUGCCCCCGCAUAUAAAGGAGCAAGGGGGAGGCCGGCUGCCUUUGGGCGCGCCAAGGAGAGGGGGGGAGUCCUCUUCCUAGUAGGAGUAGGACUCCCCUUUCCUAGUCCAACUAGGAAGAGAGGGGGGGGAAGGAAAGAGAGGGAGAGGGAGAGGGAAAGAGGGGCUGCGCCCCCUCCCCUAGUCCAAUUCGGACUCCUCAUGGGGGGGCGCCACCUCCUGGCUGCUGCCCUCUCUCUCCCCUCAAGGCCCACUAAGGCCCAAUACUUCCCCGGGGGGUUCCGGUAACCCCUCCGGCACUCCGGUUUUAUCCGAAACUUCUCCGGAACACUUCCGGUGUCCGAAUAUAGUCUUCCAAUAUAUCAAUCUUUAUGUCUCGACCAUUUCGAGACUCCUCGUCAUGUCCGUGAUCACAUCCGGGACUCCGAACAACCUUCGGUACAUCAAAACAUAUAAACUCAUAAUAUAACUAUCAUCGUAACUUUAAGCGUGCGGACCCUACGGGUUCGAGAACUAUGUAGACAUGACUGAGACACCUCUCCGGUCAAUAACCAAUAGCGGAACCUGGAUGCUCAUAUUGGUUCCUACAUAUUCUACGAAGAUCUUUAUCGGUCAGACCGCAUAACAACAUACGUUGUUCCCUUUGUCAUCGGUAUGUUACUUGCCCGAGAUUCGAUCGUCGGUAUCUCGAUACCUAGUUCAAUCUCGUUACCGGCAAGUCUCUUUACUCGUUCCGUAAUACAUCAUCCCGCAACUAACUCAUUAGUCACAAUGCUUGCAAGGCUUAUAGUGAUGUGCAUUACUGAGUGGGCCCAGAGAUACCUCUCCGACAAUCGGAGUGACAAAUCCUAAUCUCGAAAUACGCCAACCCAACAAGUACCUUUGGAGACACCUGUAGAGCACCUUUAUAAUCACCCAUUUACGUUGUGACGUUUGGUAGCACACAAAGUGUUCCUCCGGUAAACGGGAGUUGCAUAAUCUCAUAGUCAUAGGAACAUGUAUAAGUCAUGAAGAAAGCAAUAGCAACAUACUAAACGAUCGGGUGCUAAGCUAACGGAAUGGGUCAAGUCAAUCACGUCAUUCUCCUAAUGAGGUGAUCCCGUUAAUCAAAUGACAACUCAUGUCUAUGGCUAGGAAACAUAACCAUCUUUGAUUAACGAGCUAGUCAAGUAGAGGCAUACUAGUGACACAAUGUUUGUCUAUGUAUUCACACAUGUAUUAUGUUUUCGGUUAAUACAAUUCUAGCAUGAAUAAUAAACAUUUAUCAUGAUAUAAGGAAAUAAAUAAUAACUUUAUUAUUGCCUCUAGGGCAUAUUUCCUUCAGUCUCCCACUUGCACUAGAGUCAAUAAUCUAGAUUACACAGUAAUGAUUCUUACACCCAUGGAGUCUUGGUGCUGAUCAUGUUUUGCUCGUGGAAGAGGCUUAGUCAACGGGUCUGCAACAUUCAGAUCCGUAUGUAUCUUGCAAAUUUCUAUGUCUCCCACCUGGACUAAAUCCCGGAUGGAAUUGAAGCGUCUUUUGAUGUGCUUGGUUCUCUUGUGAAAUCUGGAUUCCUUUGCUAAGGCAAUUGCACCAGUAUUGUCACAAAAGAUUUUCAUUGGUCCCGAUGCACUAGGUAUGACACCUAGAUCGGAUAUGAACUCCUUCAUCCAGACUCCUUCAUUUGCUGCUUCCGAAGCAGCUAUGUACUCUGCUUCACACGUAGAUCCCGCCACGACACUUUGCUUAGAACUGCACCAACUGACAGCUCCACCGUUCAAUGUAAAUACGUAUCCGGUUUGCGAUUUAGAAUCGUCUGGAUCAGUGUCAAAGCUUGCAUCAACGUAACCACUUACGAUGAGCUCUUUGUCACCUCCAUAAACGAGAAACAUAUCCUUAGUCCUUUUCAGGUAUUUCAGGAUGUUCUUGACCGCUGUCCAGUGAUCCACUCCUGGAUUACAUUGGUACCUCCCUGCUAAACUUAUAGCAAGGCACACAUCAGGUCUGGUACACAGCAUUGCAUACAUGAUAGAGCCUAUGGCUGAAGCAUAGGGAACAUCUUUCAUCUUCUCUCUAUCUUCUGCAGUGGUCGGGCAUUGAGUCUUACUCAAUCUCACACCUUGUAGUACAGGCAAGAACCCUUUCUUUGCUUGAUCCAUUUUGAACUUCUUCAAAACUUUGUCAAGGUAUGUGCUUUGUGAAAGUCCAAUUAAGCAUCUUGAUCUAUCUCUAUAGAUCUUAAUGCCUAAUAUAUAUGCAGCUUCACCGAGGUCUUUCAUUGAAAAACUCUUAUUCAAGUAUCCCUUUAUGCUAUCCAGAAAUUCUAUAUCAUUUCCAAUCAGCAAUAUGUCAUCCACAUAUAAUAUCAGAAAUGCUACUGAGCUCCCACUCACUUUCUUGUAAAUACAGGCUUCUCCAAAAGUUUGUAUAAAACCAAAUGCUUUGAUCACACUAUCAAAGCGUUUAUUCCAACUCCGAUAGGCUUGCACCAGUCCAUAAAUAGAUCGCUGGAGCUUGCACACUUUGUUAGCUCCCUUUGGAUCGACAAAACCUUCCGGUUGCAUCAUAUACAACUCUUCUUCCAGAAAUCCAUUCAGAAUGCAGUUUUGACAUCCAUUUGCCAAAUUUCAUAAUCAUAAAAUGCGGCAAUUGCUAACAUGAUUCGGACAGACUUAAGCAUCGCUACGGGUGAGAAGGUCUCAUCGUAGUCAAUCCCUUGAACUUGUCGAAAACCUUUCGCAACAAGUCGAGCUUUAUAGACAGUAACAUUACCAUCAGCGUCAGUCUUCUUCUUGAAGAUCCAUUUAUUUUCAAUGGCUUGCCGACCAUCGGGCAAGUCAACCAAAGUCCAUACUUUGUUCUCAUACAUGGAUCCCAUCUCGGAUUUCAUGGCUUCAAGCCAUUUUGCGGAAUCUGGGCUCACCAUCGCUUCUUCAUAGUUCGUAGGUUCGACAUGGUCUAGUAACAUAACCUCCAGAACAGGAUUACCGUACCACUCUGGUGCAGAUCUUGAUCUAGUUGACCUACGAGGUUCAGUAAUAACUUGAUCUGAAGUUUCAUGAUCAUUAUCAUUAACUUCCUCACUAGUUGGUGUAGGUGUCGCAGAAACUGAUUUCUGCGAUGAUCUACUUUCCAAUAAGGGAGCAGGUACAGUUACCUCAUCAAGUUCUACUUUCCUCCCACUCACUUCUUUCGAGAGAAACUCCUUCUCUAGAAAGGAUCCAUUCUUAGCAACGAAUAUCUUGCCUUCGGAUCUGUGAUAGAAGGUGUACCCAACAGUCUCCUUUGGGUAUCCUAUGAAGACACAUUUCUCCGAUUGAGGUUCGAGCUUAUCAGGUUGAAGUUUCUUCACAUAAGCAUCGCAACCCCAAACUUUAAGAUACGACAACUUUGGUUUCUUGCCAAACCAUAGUUCAUAAGGUGUCGUCUCAACGGAUUUCGAUGGUGUCCUAUUUAGAGUGAAUGCAGCCGUCUCUAAAGCAUAACCCCAAAACGAUAGCGGUAAAUCAGUAAGAGACAUCAUAGAUCGCACCAUAUCUAAUAAAGUGCGAUUACGACGUUCGGACACACCAUUACGCUGUGGUGUUCCGGGUGGCGUGAGUUGCGAAACUAUUCCGCAUUGUUUCAAAUGUAGGCCAAACUCGUAACUCAAAUAUUCUCCUCCACGAUCUGAUCGUAGAAACUUUAUUUUCUUGUUAUGAUGAUUUUCAACUUCACUCUGAAAUUCUUUGAACUUUUCAAAUGUUUCAGACUUAUGUUUCAUUAAGUAGAUAUACCCAUAUCUGCUCAAAUCAUCUGUGAAGGUGAGAAAAUAACGAUAUCCGCCACGAGCAUCAAUAUUCAUCGAACCACAUACAUCUGUAUGUAUGAUUUCCAAUAAAUCUGUUGCUCUCUCCAUAGUUCCGGAGAACGGUGUUUUAGUCAUCUUGCCCAUGAGGCACGGUUCGCAAGUACCAAGUGAUUCAUAAUCAAGUGAUUCCAAAAGUCCAUCAGUAUGGAGUUUCUUCAUGCGCUUUACACCGAUAUGACCUAAACGGCAGUGCCACAAAUAAGUUGCACUGUCAUUAUCAACUCUGCAUCUUUUGGCUUCAACAUUAUGAAUAUGUGUGUCACUACUAUCGAGAUUCAUUAAAAAUAGACCACUCUUCAAGGGUGCAUGACCAUAAAAGAUAUUAUUCAUAUAAAUAGAACAACCAUUAUUUUCCGAUUUAAAUGAAUAACCGUCUCGCAUCAAACAAGAUCCAGAUAUAAUGUUCAUGCUCAACGCUGUCACCAAAUAACAAUUAUUUAGGUCUAAUACUAAUCCCGAAGGUAGAUGUAGAGGUAGCGUGCCGACGGCGAUCACAUCGACUUUGGAACCAUUUCCCACGCGCAUCGUCACCUCGUCCUUAGCCAAUCUUUGCUCAAUCCGUAGCCCCUGUUUCGAGUUGCAAAUAUUAGCAACAGAACUAGUAUCAAAUACCCAGGUGCUACUGCGAGCAUUAGUAAGGUACACAUCAAUAACAUGUAUAUCACAUAUACCUUUGUCAACCUUGCCAUCCUUCUUAUCCGCCAAAUACUUGGGGCAGUUCCGCUUCCAGUGUCUAAUCUGCUUGCAGUAGAAGCACUCAGUUUCAGGCUUAGGUCCAGACUUGGGUUUCUUCUCCUGAACAGCAACUUGCUUGCUGUUUUUCUUGAAGUUCCCCUUCUUCUUCCCUUUGCCCUUUUUCUUGAAACUAGUGGUUUUACUGACCAUCAACACUUGAUGCUCCUUUUUGAUUUCUACCUCCGCUGCCUUUAGCAUUGCGAAGAGCUCGGGAAUUGUCUUAUUCAUCCCUUGCAUGUUAUAGAUCAUCACGAAGCUCUUGUAGCUUGGUGGCAGUGAUUGAAGAAUUUUGUCAAUGACGCUAUCAUCCGGAAGAUUAACUCCCAGUUGAAUCAAGUGAUUAUUAUACCCAGACAUUUUGAGUAUAUGCUCACUGACAGAACUAUUCUCUUCCAUCUUGCAGCUAUAGAACUUAUUGGAGACUUCAUAUCUCUCAAUCCGGGCAUUUGCUUGAAAUAUUAACUUCAACUCCUGGAACAUCUCAUAUGCUCCAUGACGUUCAAAACGUCGUUGAAGACCCGGUUCUAAGCCGUAAAGCAUGGCACACUGAACUAUCGAGUAGUCAUCAGCUUUGCUCUGCCAGACGUUCAUAACUUCUGGUGUUGCUCUUGCAGGAGGCCUGGCACCUAGCGGUGCUUCCAGGACGUAAUUCUUCUGUGCAGCAAUGAGGAUAAUCCUCAAGUUACGGACCCAGUCCGUGUAAUUGCUACCAUCAUCUUUCAACUUNNNNNNNNNNUAUUGCUUUUACGACUAUCGCUACCGCUUAGUGAUAAAGUAAAACAAUUACAUGGCGAUUGCAUUGCAUACAAUAAAGCGACAACCAUAUGGCUCCUGCCAGUUGCCGAUAACUCGGUUACAAAACAUGAUCAUCUCAUACAAUAAAAUAUAGCAUCAUGUCUUGACCAUAUCACAUCACAACAUGCCCUGCAAAAACAAGUUAGACGUCCUCUACUUUGUUGUUGCAAGUUUUACGUGGCUGCUAUGGGCUUAGCAAGAACCGUUCUUACCUACGCAUCAAAACCACAACGAUAGUUUGUCAAGUUGGUGCUGUUUUAACCUUCGCAAGGACCGGGCGUAGCCACACUCGGUUCAACUAAAGUGAGAGAGACAGACACCCGCCAGUCACCUUUAAGCAACGAGUGCUCGCAACGGUGAAACCAGUCUCGCGUAAGCGUACGCGUAAUGUCGGUCCGGGCCGCUUCAUCUCACAAUACCGCUGAACCAAAGUAUGGCAUGCUGGUAAGCAGUAUGACUUAUAUCGCCCACAACUCACUUGUGUUCUACUCGUGCAUACCAUCAACGCAUAAAACCAGGCUCGGAUGCCACUGUUGUGGAACGUAGUAAUUUCAAAAAAUUGUUGGAAAUAUGCCCUAGAGGCAAUAAUAAAUUGGUUAUUAUUAUAUUUCCUUGUUCAUGAUAAUCGUUUAUUAUCCAUGCUAGAAUUGUAUUGAUAGGAAACUCAGAUACAUGUGUGGAUACAUAGACAACACCAUGUCCCUAGUAAGCCUCUAGUUGACUAGCUCGUUGAUCAAUAGAUGGUUACGGUUUCCUGACCAUGGACAUUGGAUGUCAUUGAUAACGGGAUCACAUCAUUAGGAGAAUGAUGUGAUGGACAAGACCCAAUCCUAAGCCUAGCACAAGAUCGUGUAGUUCGUUUGCUCAGAGCUUUUCUAAUGUCAAGUAUCAUUUCCUUAGACCAUGAGAUUGUGCAACUCCCGGAUACCGUAGGAAUGCUUUGGGUGUACCAAACGUCACAACGUAACUGGGUGGCUAUAAAGGUGCACUACAGGUAUCUCCGAAAGUGUCUGUUGGGUUGGCACGAAUCGAGACUGGGAUUUGUCACUCCGUGUAAACGGAGAGGUAUCUCUGGGCCCACUCGGUAGGACAUCAUCAUAAUGUGCACAAUGUGACCAAGGAGUUGAUCACGGGAUGAUGUGAGUUACGGAACGAGUAAAUAGACUUGCCGGUAACGAGAUUGAACAAGGUACCGGGAUACCGACGAUCGAAUCUCGGGCAAGUAACAUACCGAUAGACAAAGGGAAUUGCAUACGGGAUUGAUCGAAUCCCCGACAUCGUGGUUCAUCCGAUGAGAUCAUCGUGGAACAUGUGGGAGCCAACAUGGAUAUCCAGAUCCCGCUGUUGGUUAUUGACCGGAGAACGUCUCGGUCAUGUCUACAUGGUUCCCGAACCCGUAGGGUCUACACACUUAAGGUUCGAUGACGCUAGGGUUAUAGGGAAAAGAUAUACGUGGUUACCGAAUGUUGUUCGGAGUCCCGGAUGAGAUCCCGGACGUCAUGAGGAGUUCCGGAAUGGUCCGGAGGUAAAGAUUUAUAUAUGGGAAGUCCUGUUUUGGUCACCGGAAAGGUUUCGGGUGUUAUCAGUAAUGUACCGGGACCACCGGGAGGGUCCCGGGGGUCCACCAAGUGGGGCCACCAGCCCCAGAAGGCUGCGUGGGCCAAGUGUGGGAGGGGACCAGCCCCAGGUGGGCUGGUGCGCCCCCCCACCAAGGCCCAAGGCGCAUGGGAGAGUGGGAGGGGGCAAACCCUAGGUCCAGAUGGGCCUUAAGGCCCACCCUAGUGGCGCCCCCCUCCUCCCCUUGGCCGCCCCCCUAGGUGGGAUCUAGGGCUGGCCGCCAGCCCUUGGGGUGGAAACCCAAGAGGGGGCGCAGCCCCCUCCCCCCCUAUAUAUAGUUGAGGUUUGGGGCUGCCCAAGACAUGAGAACGUCUCUCUUUCGACGCAACCCUACCCCUCUCCCUCCUCCUCCUCUCCCGCGGUGCUUGGCGAAGCCCUGCAGGAUUGCCAAGCUCCUCCAUCACCACCACGCCAUCGUGCUGCUGCUGGAUGGAGUCUUCCCCAACCUCUCCCUCUCACCUUGCUGGAUCAAGGCGUGGGAGACGUCACCGGGCUGCACGUGUGUUGAACGCGGAGGCGCCGUGGUUCGGCGCUUAGAUCGGAAUCAACCGUGAUCUGAAUCGCUACGAGUACGACUCCCUCAUCCGCGUUCUUGCAAUGCUUCCGCAUCGCGAUCUACAAGGGUAUGUAGAUGCACUCCCCUUCCCCUCGUUGCUAGAUUACUCCAUAGAUUGAUCUUGGUGAUGCGUAGAAAAUUUUGAAUUUCUGCUACGUUCCCCAGCAGUGGCAUCAUGAGCUAGGUCUAUGCGUAGUUUCUAUGCACGAGUAGAACACAAAGCAGUUGUGGGCGUAGAUGUUGCCAAUUCUUCUUGCCGCUACUAGUCUUAUCUUUUUUCGGCGGCAUUGUGGGAUGAAGCGGCCCGGACCGACCUUACACGUACGCUUAUGUGAGACAGGUUCCACCGACUGACAUGCACUAGUUGCAUAAGGUGGCUAGCGGGUGUCUGUCUCUCCCACUUUAGUCGGAACGGAUUAGAUGAAAAGGGUCCUUAUGAAGGGUAAAUAGAAAUUGGCAUAUCACGUUGUGGUUUUACGUAGGUAAGAAACGUUCUUGCUAGAAACCUAUACAAGCCACGUAAAAACUUGCAACAACAAUUAGAGGACGUCUAACUUGUUUUUGCAGCAUGUGCUAUGUGAUGUGAUAUGGCCAGAAGAUGUGAUGAAUGAUAUAUGUGAUGUAUGAGAUUGAUCACAUUCUUGUAAUAAGAAUCACGACUUGCAUGUCGAUGAGUAUGACAACCGGCAGGAGCCAUAGGAGUUGUCUUAAUUUAUUUUAUGACCUGCGUGUCAAUGAAAACGCCAUGUAAUUACUGUACUUUAUUGCUAACCGUUAGCCAUAGUAGUAGAAGUAAUAGUUGGCGAGACAACUUCAUGAAGACACGAUUAUGGAGAUCAUGGUGUCAUGCCGGUGACAAAGAUGAUCAUGGUGCCCCGAAGAUGGAGAUCAAAGGAGCAAAAUGAUAUUGGCCAUAUCAUGUCACUACUUGAUUGCAUGUGAUGUUUAUCAUGUUAUGCAUCUUAUUUGCUUAGAAUGACGGUAGUAAGUAAGAUGAUCCCUUAUAAUAAUUUCAAGAGACGUGUUCCCCCUAACUGUGCACCGUUGCGAAGGUUCGUUGUUUCGAAGCACCACGUGAUGAUCGGGUGUGAUAGAUUCUAACGUUCGAAUACAACGGGUGUUGACGAGCCUAGCAUGUACAGACAUGGCCUCGGAACACAUGCAAAACACUUAGGUUGACUUGACGAGCCUAGCAUGUACAGACAUGGCCUCGGAACACAAGAGACCGAAAGGUCGAGCAUGAGUCGUAUAGAAGAUACGAUCAACAUGGAGAUGUUCACCGAUGAUGACUAGUCCGUCUCACGUGAUGAUCGGACACGGCCUAGUUUGACUCGGAUCAUGUAUCACUUAGAUGACUAGAGGGAUGUCUAUCUGAGUGGGAGUUCAUUAAUUAGAUGAACUUCAUUAUCAUGAACAUAGUCAAAAGGUCUUUGCAAAUUAUGUCAUAUGCUUUAGUUCUACUAUUUAAGAUAUGUUCCUAGAGAAAAUUUAGUUGAAAGUUGGUACUAGCAAUUAUGCGGACUGGGUCCGUAAACUGAGGAUUUUCCUCAUUGCUGCACAGAAGGCUUAUGUCCUUAAUGCACCGCUCGGUGUGCUGAACCUCAGCGUCGUCUGUAGAUGUUAAGAAACAUCUGACAUACACGUUUAGAUGACUACGUGAUAGUUCAGUGCAUAAUGCUAAUGGUUUAGAAUUGUGGCACCAGAGACGUUUUUGAAACGUCGGAGAACAUGUGAGAUGUUCCGAAGACUGAAAUUGGGAUUUCAGACUAGUGCCCACAUCAAGAGGUAUGAGACCUCUGACAAGUUUAUUAAGCCUGCAAACUAAGGGAGAAAAGCUCAAUCGUUGAGCAUGUGCUCAGAUUGUCUGAGUACUACAAUCGCUUGAAUCGAGUGGGAGUUAAUCUUCUAGAUGAGAUAGUGAUGGUUCUCCAUAAUCACUGCCACCAAGCUAUUAGAGCUUCGUGAUGAACUAUAAAUAUCAAGGAUAGAUGAUGAUCCUUGAGCAACUCGCGAUGUUUGACACCGCGAAAGUAGAAAUCAAGAAGGAGCAUCAAUUGUUGAUGGUUAGUAAAACCACUAAUUUCUAGAAGGGCAAGAGCAAAAGGGAUACUUCAUGAAACAACAAAUCGUUUGCUGCUCUAGUGAAGAAUCCCAAGGUUGAACCCAAACCCGAGACUAAGUGCUUCUGUAAUGAGGGGAACGGUCACUGAAGCAGUACUACCCUAGAUACUUGGUAGAUGAGAAGGCAGGCAAGGUCGACAGAAGUAUAUUGGAUAUACAUUAUAUGAAUGUGUACUUUACUAGUACUCCUAGCGGCACCAGGGUAUUAGAUACCGGUUCGGUUGCUAAGUGUUAGUAACUCGAAAUAAAAGCUGCGGAAUAAACGGAGACUAGCUAAAGGUGAGAUGAUGAUAUGUGUUGGAAGUGUUUCCAAGGUUGAUGUGAUCAAGCAUCGCAUGCUCCCUCUACCAUCGAGAUUUGGUGUUUGCGUUGAGCAUGAUUGGAUUAUGUUUAUCGCAAUACGGUUAUUCAUUUAAGGAGAAUAAUGGUUACUCUGUUUAUUUGAAUAAUAUCUUCAAUGGUCUUGCACCUAAAAUGAAUCUCGAUCGUAGUGAUACACAUGUUCAUGCCAAAAGUAAUGAUAGUACCACAUACUUGUGGCACUGCUAUUUGAGUCAUAUUGGGAUAAAACGCAUGAAGAAGCUCCAUGUAGAUGGAUCUUUGGACUCACUCGUUUUUGAAAAGAUUGAGACAUGCAAACCAUGUCUAUUGGUAUAUAUGCAUGAAGAAACUCCAUGCAGAUGGAUCGUUUGGACUCACUUGAUUUUGAAUCACUUGAGACAUGCAAAUCAUACCACAUGGGCAAGAUGACUGUAAGGCCUCGUUUUCAGUAAGAUGGAACAAGAGAGCAACUUAUUGGAAGUAAUACAUUUUGAUGUAUGCAGUCCAAUGAGUGCUGAGGCAUCCAGUGGAUAUCGUUAUGUUCUUACUUCACAGAUGGUUUGAGUAGAUGCUGAGUGUAUUUACUUGAUGAAACACAAGUCUGAAUUAUUGAAAGGUUCAAGUAAUUUCAGAGUAAAGUUGAAGAUCGUCGUGACAAGAGGAUAAAAUGUCUGUGAUAUGAUCAUAGAGAUGAGUAUCUGAGUUACGAGUUUGGCACACAAUUAAGACAUUGUGGAAAGUGUUUCACAAUUAAUACUGCCUGGAACACCAUAGUGUGAUGGUGUGUCCGAACAUCAUAACUGCACCCUAUUGGAUAUGGUGCAUGCCAUGAUGUCUCUUAUCGAAUUACCACUAUCGUUUAUGGGUUAGGCAUUAGAGACAACCGCAUUCACUUUAAAUAGGGCACCACGCAAUUCCGUUGAGACGACACCGUUUAGAGAAACCUAAGUUGUCGUUUCUUAAAAGUUUGGGGCUGCGAUGCUUAUGUGAAAAAGUUUCAGGCUGAUAAGCUCGAACCCAAAGCGGAUAAAUGCAUCUUCAUAGAAAACCCAAAACAGUUGGGUAUACCUCCUAUUUCAGAUCUGGAAGCAAAAGUAAUUGCUUCUAGAAACGAGUCCUUUCUCGAGGAAAAGUUUCUCUCGAAAGAAUUGAGUGGGAGGAUGGUGGAGACUUGAUAAGGUUAUUGAACCGUCACUUCAACUAGUGUGUAGCAGGGCACGGGAAGUUGUUCCUGUGGCACCUACACCAAUUGAAGUGGAAGCUUAUGAUGGUGAUCAUGAAACUUUGGAUCAAGUCACUACCAAACCUCGUAGGACGACGAGGAUGCGUAAUACUUCAGAGUAGUACGUGAUCCUGUCUUGGAAGUCAUGUUGUUGGACAACGAUGAACCUAUGAGCUAUGGAGAAGCGACGGUGGGCCCAUAUUCCGACAAAUGAAGCCAUGAAAUCCGAGAUAAAUGGAUCUUUAAGAAGAAGAUGAACGUGGACGGUAAGGUUACCGUCUAUGAAGCUCGACUUGUGGCAAAGAGUAUUUUCACAAGUUCAAGGAGUUGACUACGAUGAGAUUUUUCUCAUCCGUAGCGAUGCUUAAGUCCGUCGGAAUCAUGUUAGCAUUAGCUGCAUUUAUGAAAUCUGGCAGAUGGAUGUCAAAACAAGUUUCCUUACCAGUUUUCGUAAGGAAAGGUUGUAUGUGAUACAAUCAGAAAGGUUUUGUCGAUCCUAAGGAUGCUAAAAGGUAUGCUAGCUCCAGCGAUCCUUCCAUGGACUAGAGCAAGCAUCUCGGAGUCAGAAUAUACGCUUUGAUGGAGUGAUCAAAGUUUUUGGGUUUAUACAAAGUUUGUUGGAAACUUGUAUUUACAAUAAAGUGAGUGGGAGCGCUACAACAUUUCUGAUAAGUAUAUGUGAAUGACAUAUUGUUGAUCCGAAAUGAUGUAAAAUUUCUGGAAAGCAUAAAGGGUUGUUUGAAAGGAGUUUUUCAAAGGAAGACCUGGAUAAAGCUGCUUACAUAUUGGGCAUCAAGAUCUAUAGAGAUAGAUCAAGACGCCUGAUGAUACUUUCAAAAAGAACGCACACUUUGACAUGAUUUUGAAAGAGUUCAAAAUAGAUCAGCAAAGAAGGAGUUCUUGGCUGUGUUACAAGGUGUGAGUAUUGAGUAAGACUCAAGACCUGACCACAGCAGGAAAGAGAGAAAGGAUGAAGGUCGUCCCCUAUGCUUUAGACGUAGGCUCUAUAGUAUGCUAUGCUGUGUACCGCACAUGUAGUGUGCCUUGCCAUGAGUUGGUCAAGGGGUACAAUAGUGAUCCGGGAAUGGAUCACAUGACAGCGGUCGAACUUAUCCUUAGUAUCUAGUGGACUAAGGAAUUUUCUCGAUUAUGGAGGUGAAAAGGAGUUCGUCGUAAAGGGUUACGUCGAUGCGAACUUUGACACUAAUCCGGAUGGCUCUGAGUAGUAAACCGGAUUCGUAUAGUAGAGCAAUUAUUUGAAAUGGCUCCAAGUAGCGCGUGGUAGCAUCCACAAGAUGACAUAGAUAUUCGUAAAGCACACACGGAUCUGAAAGGUUCAGACCCGUUGACUAAUAUCCUCUCUCACAAGCAUAACAUGAUCAAACCAGAACUCAUUGACUCUAGAUUGUUGACUCUAGUAAACUCUUGGGUGUUGGUCACAUGGUGAUGUGACCUAUGAGUGUUAAUCACAUGGUGAUGUGGACUAGAUUAUUGACUCUAGUGCAAGUGGGAGACUGUUGGAAAUAUGCCCUAGAGGCAAUAAUAAAUUGGUUAUUAUUAUAUUUCCUUGUUCAUGAUAAUCGUUUAUUAUCCAUGCUAGAAUUGUAUUGAUAGGAAACUCAGAUACAUGUGUGGAUACAUAGACAACACCAUGUCCCUAGUAAGCCUCUAGUUGACUAGCUCGUUGAUCAAUAGAUGGUUACGGUUUCCUGACCAUGGACAUUGGUGUCAUUGAUAACGGGAUCACAUCAUUAGGAGAAUGAUGUGAUGGACAAGACCCAAUCCUAAGCCUAGCACAAGAUCGUGUAGUUCGUUUGCUCAGAGCUUUUCUAAUGUCAAGUAUCAUUUCCUUAGACCAUGAGAUUGUGCAACUCCCGGAUACCGUAGGAAUGCUUUGGGUGUACCAAACGUCACAACGUAACUGGGUGGCUAUAAAGGUGCACUACAGGUAUCUCCGAAAGUGUCUGUUGGGUUGGCACGAAUCGAGACUGGGAUUUGUCACUCCGUGUAAACGGAGAGGUAUCUCUGGGCCCACUCGGUAGGACAUCAUCAUAAUGUGCACAAUGUGACCAAGGAGUUGAUCAUGGGAUGAUGUGAGUUACGGAACGAGUAAAUAGACUUGCCGGUAACGAGAUUGAACAAGGUACCGGGAUACCGACGAUCGAAUCUCGGGCAAGUAACAUACCGAUAGACAAAGGGAAUUGCAUACGGGAUUGAUCGAAUCCCCGACAUCGUGGUUCAUCCGAUGAGAUCAUCGUGGAACAUGUGGGAGCCAACAUGGGUAUCCAGAUCCCGCUGUUGGUUAUUGACCGGAGAACGUCUCGGUCAUGUCUACAUGGUUCCCGAACCCGUAGGGUCUACACACUUAAGGUUCGAUGACGCUAGGGUUAUAGGGAAAAGAUAUACGUGGUUACCGAAUGUUGUUCGGAGUCCCGGAUGAGAUCCCGGACGUCAUGAGGAGUUCCGGAAUGGUCCGGAGGUAAAGAUUUAUAUAUGGGAAGUCCUGUUUUGGUCACCGGAAAGGUUUCGGGUGUUAUCGGUAAUGUACCGGGACCACCGGGAGGGUCCCGGGGGUCCACCAAGUGGGACCACCAGCCCCAGAAGGCUGUGUGGGCCAAGUGUGGGAGGGGACCAGCCCCAGGUGGGCUGGUGCGCCCCCCACCAAGGCCCAAGGCGCAUGGGAGAGUGGGAGGGGGCAAACCCUAGGUCCAGAUGGGCCUUAAGGCCCACCCUAGUGGCGCCCCCCCUCUCCUCCCGUUGGCCACCCCCCUAGGUGGGAUCUAGGGCUGGCCGCCAGCCCUUGGGGUGGAAACCCUAGAGGGGGCGCAGCCCCCCCCCCCCCUAUAUAUAGUUGAGGUUUGGGGCUGCCCAAGACAUGAGAACGUCUCUCUUUCGGCGCAGCCCUACCCCUCUCCCUCCUCCUCCUCUCCCGCGGUGCUUGGCGAAGCCCUGCGGGAUUGCCACGCUCCUCCAUCACCACCAUGCCGUCGUGCUGCUGCUGGAUGGAGUCUUCCCCAACCUCUCCCUCUCACCUUGCUGGAUCAAGGCGUGGGAGACGUCACCGGGCUGCACGUGUGUUGAACGCGGAGGCGCCGUGGUUCGGCGCUUAGAUCGGAAUCAACCGCGAUCUGAAUUGCUACGAGUAUGACUCCCUCAUCCGCGUUCUUGCAACGCUUCCGCAUCGCGAUCUACAAGGGUAUGUAGAUGCACUCCCCUUCCCCUCGUUGCUAGAUUACUCCAUAGAUUGAUCUUGGUGAUGCGUAGAAAAUUUUGAAUUUCUGCUACGUUCCCCAACAAAAAUUUCCUACGCACAUGCAAGAUCAUGGUGAUGCAUAGCAACGAGAGGGGAGAGUGUUGUCCACGUACCCUCGUAGCCCGAAAGCGGAAGCGUUUAUCACAACGCGGUUGAUGUAGUCGUACGUCUUCACGAUCCGACCGAUCAAGUACCGAACGCACGACACCUCCGAGUUCAGCACACGUUCAGCUCGAUGACGUCCCUCGACCUCCGAUCCAGCCUAGUGUUGAGGGAGAGUUUCGUCAGCACGACGGCGUGGUGACGAUGAUGAUGUUCUAUUGACGCAGGGCUUCGCCUAGGCUCCGCAACGAUAUUAUUGAGGUGUAAUAUGGUGGAGGGGGCCACCGCACACGGCUAAAAUAUCGUAUAUCAAGUGUGUCUAGAGGUGCCCCCUGCCCCCGUAUAUAAAGGAGCAAGGGGGAGGCCGGCUGCCUUUGGGCGCGCCAAGGAGAGGGGGGAGUCCUCCUCCUAGUAGGAGUAGGACUCCCCUUUCCUAGUCCAACUAGGAAGAGAGGGGGGGAGGAAAGAGAGGGAGAGGGAAAGAGGGGCUGCGCCCCCUCCCCUAGUCCAAUUCGGACUCCUCAUGGGGGGGGGCGCCACCUCCUGGCUGCUGCCCUCUCUCUCCCCUCAAGGCCCACUAAGGCCCAAUACUUCCCCGGGGGGUUCCGGUAACCCCUCCGGCACUCCGGUUUUAUUCGAAACUUCUCCGGAACACUUCCGGUGUCCGAAUAUAGUUGUCCAAUAUAUCAGUCUUUAUGUCUCGACCAUUGGAGAAUCCUCAUCAUGUCCGUGAUCACAUCCGGGACUCCGAACAACCUUCGGUACAUCAAAACAUAUAAACUCAUAAUAUAACUGUCAUCGUAACUUUAAGCGUGCGGACCCUACGGGUUCGAGAACUAUGUAGACAUGACCGAGACACCUCUCUGGUCAAUAACCAAUAGCGGAACCUGGAUGCUCAUAUUGGUUCCUACAUAUUCUACGAAGAUCUUUAUCGGUCAGACCGCAUAACAACAUACGUUGUUCCCUUUGUCAUCGGUAUGUUACUUGCCCGAGAUUCGAUCGUCGGUAUCUCGAUACCUAGUUCAAUCUCGUUACCGGCAAGUCUCUUUACUCGUUCCGUAAUACAUCAUCCCGCAACUAACUCAUUAGUCACAAUGCUUGCAAGGCUUAUAGUGAUGUGCAUUACUGAGUGGGCCCAGAGAUACCUCUCCGACAAUCGGAGUGACAAAUCCUAAUCUCGAAAUACGCCAACCCAACAAGUACCUUUGGGGACACCUGUAGAGCACCUUUAUAAUCACUCAUUUACGUUGUGACGUUUGGUAGCACACAAAGUGUUCCUCCGGUAAACGGGAGUUGCAUAAUCUCAUAGUCAUAGGAACAUGUAUAAGUCAUGAAGAAAGCAAUAGCAACAUACUAAACGAUCGGGUGCUAAGCUAACGGAAUGGGUCAAGUCAAUCACGUCAUUCUCCUAAUGAGGUGAUCCCGUUAAUCAAAUGACAACUCAUGUCUAUGGCUAGGAAACAUAACCAUCUUUGAUUAACGAGCUAGUCAAGUAGAGGCAUACUAGUGACACGCUGUUUGUCUAUGUAUUCACACAUGUAUUAUGUUUCCGGUUAAUACAAUUCUAGCAUGAAUAAUAAACAUUUAUCAUGAUAUAAGGAAAUAAAUAAUACUUUAUUAUUGCCUCUAGGGCAUAUUUCCUUCACACUGGGGGAACAAACAGAGAUGGGAAGGCUGUCAAAUCCAACGUAGCUGAGAACACAGAACAAAUCACUCAAAGCCCUAUGUACCCCCCGGGUUUUAAACCAGGGUCGCAGGUGGGUCUUGGGGGAACGGAUGCGAAUGGAGUUAACGGGACACUUAUGCAAGAUGGAGGCAAAGAGAUGGUGCAGAAGGAUGGAGGAGGAACAAAAGAGAACAGGGUGGAUCCGAUGCAGGGAAGAGUGAAGACCCAGGGGCAAGUUCAGGACAGGAACCUGAAGAUGGCAGUGGGGGAUACAGUUUCAGUUCUGGGAAAAAGAGGUGAACGUGCGAUAGGAGCAAACUUAACUGGUGCUGCUAGGGAUGUUACAAAGGGCACUAUCCAGAACAAGAAGAAGAAGUGGGCCAGCAAGAACAAUGGAAAGGAUGACAAGGGUAAGCCAGGUGGAAAGGAAGCAACCGAGCUUGGGGCUCUCGGUCAACUGGUGGAUGCCAAGGAGGGCGUCCACCAGGAGCCAUGACACUCCUAAGUUGAAACUGUCGGGGCCUAGGGCAACCCCGCACGGUUCAUGAACUAGUGCAACUAGUGCACACGCAUAAGCCCAAAUUAGUUUUUAUCUCGGAGACAAGACAAAGCAGUGAGAGAGUGAAUAAUUUGAGGUGGAGGCUUGGCCUCAAGCAUUGUAUUGUGCAACCGGGCUCCGGUAAAGGUGCCGGCAUUGCAAUCUUCUAUGAUGAGAGUGUUGAAAUAAAAGAACUUGGCGUUGGCCCGAGGUACAUCGAUGUGUUGAUCCACCUGUGUCCAAACGGGGUUCAAUGGAGGGGUACUUUUGUGUACGGAGAGCCGAAAACACAUGAGAGGCACCAUAUGUGGGAACUCCUGAGAAGAAUCCGAAAUAAUGCAGCUGAACCGUGGCUAAUGAUAGGGGACUUUAACGAGGCUAUGUGGCAAAGCGAGCAUCUAUCCAGAGCUAAGAGAUCAGAGAAAGGUAUGGCUGAGUUCAGAUCGCUGCUGUCAGACUGUAAUCUACAUGAUAUGGGUUACAAAGGUAUAGUAUGGACCUAUGAUAACAAACAACGUGGCCAGAAUAAUGUGAAGGUUCGGCUAGAUAGAGGAGUAGCGAGCCCAGAUUGGAGCAGUUUAUUUAAACAGGCUACGAUAGAGCAUCUAGUCACAUCGAGAUCUGAUCACGUACCCCUACUGCUCCGCUUUGGGGCAAGAAAAGAGUGGCGACCAAUCAAAAGAAAUUUCAGGUAUGAGUGUAUGUGGGAACGAGCAAGAGACCUGCCGGUGGUGAUAAAUGAAGCCUGGACAGGGGGUGGAAAGGGAUGUUCACUAGCUGAUAUCACAAAGAAACUGAGAAACAUGUAGGAUGUGUUGAGCAAAUGGGCGAGCAGAGAGUUCAAUUCUGUACAGAGUAAAAUAAGGGCUCUCCGAGAUAGAUUGAAGGGGUUGUACUCGCUGCAGCUUACACCAGAGGUCGAAGAUAAAAUAAAAAGAACAGAAAGUGAGAUUGAUGAAUGGCUCUAUAGGGAAGAAAUGAUGUGGAGACAACGCUCUCGAAUAACUUGGUUGAGGGAAGGAGAUAGGAACACUGAGUUUUUCCAUAGAAGGGCCACCUGGAGAAGGAAAAAGAAUAAGAUUACAAAACUUCGCAAAGGAGACGAAAGCUGGGCGGAGAGGGAAGAGGAGAUACACCAAGAAAUAAAUAGUUUCUUUAAGGAACUGUACAAAAAAGAUGAGCAGGUUGAACCCACCGAGCUGUUGGAUUUGAUUCCCCAAAGAGUGGAUGAACGGAUGAAUGCAAGCCUCACAAAGGAAGUUACGGAUGAGGAGAUAGGAGAUGCACUAUUCCAAAUCGGCCCACUCAAAGCCCCCGGGCCGAAUGGAUUUCCAGCACGGUUCUAUCAACGAAACUGGCUGAUUCUGAAGGAAGAUGUCGCGAGAGGAGUUAAAUUCUUUUUUGCAGAUGGAGUAAUGCCCGAAGGUGUAAACAAUACCGUUAUUGUGCUGAUUCCGAAGGGAAAGAACCCGUCAAGCAUCAAGGACUACAGACCAAUCAGCCUUUGUAAUGUCCUUUAUAAAGUGAUCUCCAAAAUCCUAGUAAACCGUCUACGCCCUUUCCUUGAUGAUCUCAUAUCAGAAACACAGAGUGCUUUCAUCCCGGGGAGGAUGAUCACGGAUAACUCCCUCAUUGCCUUCGAAUGCUUCCACAAAAUUCAACACAGUAAAAAUCAGAGAGACAAUCACUGCGCGUAUAAACUGGAUCUGGCAAAAGCAUAUGACAGAGUUGAUUGGAACUUCCUGGAAGGGGUAAUGGGGAAGUUAGGCUUUGAACAGAAGUGGAUCAAGUGGGUGAUGACAUGUGUUCGAUCGGUUACUUUCUCAGUCAGAUGCAACGGGUCUUUACUGGAAGCUUUCUUACCGACCAGAGGACUGUUGGGGAACGUAGUAAUUUCAAAAAAAUUCCUACGCACACGCAAGAUCAUGGUGAUGCAUAGCAACGAGAGGGGAGAGUGUUGUCCACGUACCCUCGUAGACCGACAGCGGAAGCGUUAUCACAACGCGGUUGAUGUAGUCGUACGUCUUCACGAUCCGACCGAUCAAGUACUGAACGCACGGCACCUCCGAGUUCUACACACGUUCAGCUCGAUGACGUCCCUCGAACUCCGAUCCAGCCGAGUGUUGAGGGAGAGUUUCGUCAGCACGACGGCGUGGUGACGAUGAUGAUGUUCCACCGACGCAGGGCUUCGCCUAAGCUCCGCAACGGUAUUAUCGAGGUGUAAUAUAGUGGAGGGGGGCACCGCACACGGCUAAGAGAUCUCAAGGGUCAAUUGUUGUUUCUCUGGGGUGCCCCCCUGCCCCCGUAUAUAAAGGAGCAAGGGAGGAGGAGGCCGGCCCUAGGAGGGGGCGCACCAAGUGUGGAGUCCUACUAGGACUCCCUAGUCCUAGUAGGAUUCCACCUCCCAUAUGAAAUAGAAAAAGAGGAAGGGAAAAAGAGAAGGAAGGAAGGGGGCGCCACCUUCCCUAGUCCAAUUCGGACCAGACCAAGGGGAGGGGUGUGGCCACCCUUGAGGCCCUUUUCCUUCUUUCCCGUAUGGCCCAAUAAGGCCCAAUACGUAUUCCCGUAACUCUCCGGUACUCCGAAAAAUACCCGAAUCACUUGGAACCUUUCCGAAGUCCGAAUAUAGUCGUCCAAUAUAUCGAUCUUUACGUCUCGGCCAUUUCGAGACUCCUCGUCAUGUCCCCAAUCUCAUCCGGGACUCCGAACUCCUUCGAUACAUCAAAACUCAAUAAAACUGUCAUCGUAACGUUAAGCGUGCGGACCCUACGGGUUCGAGAACUAUGUAGACAUGACCGAGACACGUCUCCGGUCAAUAACCAAUAGCGGGACCUGGAUGCCCAUAUUGGCUCUCACAUAUUCUACGAAGAUCUUUAUCGGUCAGACCGCAUAACAACACACGUUGUUUCCUUUGUCACCGGUAUGUUACUUGCCCGAGAUUUGAUCGUCGGUAUCUCGAUACCUAGUUCAAUCUCGUUAUCGGCAAGUCUCUUUACUCGUUCCGUAACACAUCAUCCCGCAACUAACUCAUUAGUCACAAUGCUUGCAAGGCUUAUAGUGAUGUGUAUUACCGAGUGGGCCCAGAGAUACCUCUCCGACAAUCGGAGUGACAAAUCCUAAUCUCGAAAUACGCCAACCCAACAAGUACCUUUGGAGACACCUGUAGAGUACCUUUAUAAUCACCCAUUUACGUUGUGACGUUUGGUAGCACACAAAGUGUUCCUCCGGUAAACGGGAGUUGCAUAAUCUCAUAGUCAUAGGAACAUGUAUAAGUCAUGUAGAAAGCAAUAGCAACAUACUAAACGAUCGAGUGCUAAGCUAACGGAAUGGGUCAAGUCAAUCACGUCAUUCUCCUAAUGAGGUGAUAUCGUUAAUCAAAUGACAACUUAUGUCUAUGGCUAGGAAACAUAACCAUCUUUGAUUAACGAGCUAGUCAAGUAGAGGCAUACUAGUGACACUCUGUUUGUCUAUGUAUUCACACAUGUAUUAUGUUUUCGGUUAUACAAUUCUAGCAUGAAUAAUAAACAUUUAUCAUGAUAUAAGGAAAUAAAUAAUAACUUUAUUAUUGCCUCUAGGGCAUAUUUCCUUCAGUCUCCCACUUGCACUAGAGUCAAUAAUCUAGUUCACAUCGCCAUGUGAUUUAACAUGAAUAGUUCACAUCACCAUGUGAUUAACACCCAUAGUUCACAUCGUCAUGUGACCAUCACCCAAAGGGUUUACUAGAGUCAGUAAUCUAGUUCACAUCGCUAUGUGAUUAACACUCAAAGAGUACUAAGGUGUGAUCAUGUUUUGCUUGUGAGAUAAUUUUAGUCAACGGGUCUGUCACAUUCAGAUCCGUAAGUAUUUUGCAAAUUUCUAUGUCUACAAUGCUCUGCAUGGAGCUACUCUAGCUAAUUGCUCCCACUUUCAAUAUGUAUCUAGACCGAGACUUAGAGUCAUCUAGAUUAGUGUCAAAACUUGUAUCGACGUAACCUUUUACGACGAGCCUUUUGUCACUUCCAUAAUCGAGAAACAUAUCCUUAUUCUAGUAAGGAUAAUUUUGACCGUUGUCCAGUGAUCUACUCCUAGAUCACUAUUGUACUCCCUUGCCAAAAUCAGUGUAGGGUAUACAAUAGAUCUGGUACAUAGCAUGGCAUACUUUAUAGAACCUAUGGCCGAGGCAUAGGGAAUGACUUUCAUUCUUUUUCUAUCUUCUGCCGUGGUCGGGUUUUGAGUCUUACUCAAUUUCACACCUUGUAACACAGGCAAGAAACUCUUUCUUUGACUGUUCCAUUUUGAACCACUUCAAAAUCUUGUUAAGGUAUGUACUCAUUGAAAAAACUUAUCCAGCGUCUUGAUCUAUCUCUAUAGAUCUUGAUGCUCAAUAUGUAAGCAGCUUCACCGAGAUCUUUCUUUGAAAAACUCCUUUAUGCUUUGCAGAAUAAUUCUACAUUAUUUCCGAUCAACAAUAUGUCACUUACAUAUACUUAUCAGAAAUGUUGUAGUGCUCCCACUCACUUUCUUGUAAAUACAGGCUUCACCGCAAGUCUGUAUAAAACUAUAUCCUUUGAUCAACUUAUCAAAGCGUAUAUUCCUACUCUGAGAUGCUUGCACCAGUCCAUAGAUGGAUCGCUGGAGCUUGCAUAUUUUGUUAGCACCUUUAGGAUUGACAAAACCUUCUGGUUGCAUCAUAUACAACUCUUCUUUAAUAAAUCCAUUAAGGAAUGCAGUUUUGUUUAUCCAUUUGCCAGAUUUCAUAAAAUGCGACAAUUGCUAACAUGGUUCGGACAGACUUAAGCAUCGCUGCGAGUGAGAAAAUCUCAUCGUAGUCAACACCUUGAACUUUGUCAAAAACCUUUUUCCGACAAGUCUAGCUUUGUAGAUAGUAACACUACUAUCAGCGUCCGCCUUCCUCUUGAAGAUCCAUUUAUUUUCUAUGGCUUGCCGAUCAUCGGGCAAGUCAACCAAAGUCCACACUUUGUUCUCAUACAUGGAUCCCAUCUCAGAUUUCAUGGCCUCAAGCCAUUUUGCGGAAUCUGGGCUCACCAUCGCUUCUUCAUAGUUCGUAGGUUCGUUAUGGUCUAGUAACAUAACCUCCAGAACAGUAUUACCGUACCACUCUGGUGCGGAUCUUACUCUGGUUUACCUACGAGGUUUGGUAGUAACUUGAUCUGAAGUUACAUGAUCAUCAUCAUUAACUUCCUCACUAAUUGGUGUAGGAGUCACAGGAACAGAUUUCUGUGAUGAACUACUUUCCAAUAAGGGAGCAGGUACAGUUACCUCAUCAAGUUCUACUUUCCUCCCACUCACUUCUUUCGAGAGAAACUCCUUCUCUAGAAAGGAUCCAUACUAAGCAACGAAUGUCUUGCCUUCGGAUCGGUGAUAGAAGGUGUACCCAACUGUCUCCUUUGGGUAUCCUAUGAAGACACAUUUCUCCGAUUUGGGUUUGAGCUUAUCAGGAUGAAACCUUUUCACAUAAGCAUCGCAACCCCAAACUUUUAAGAAACGACAACUUUGGUUUCUUGCUAAACCACAGUUCAUAAGGCGUCGUCUUAACGGAUUUUGAUGGUGCCCUAUUUAACGUGAAUGCAGCUGUCUCUAAUGCAUAACCCCAAAACGAUAGUAGUAGAUCGGUAAGAGACAUCAUAUAUCGCACCAUAUCUAAUAAAGUACGAUUACGAUGUUCAGACACACCAUUACACCGUGGUGUUCCAGGUGGCGUGAAUUUGUGAAACUAUUCCACAUUGUUUUAAUUGAAGACCAAACUCGUAACUCAAAUAUUUGUCUCCGCGAUCAAAUCAUAGAAACCUUAUUUUCUCGUCACGAUGAUUUUCUACUUCACUCUGAAAUUCUUUGAACUUUUCAAAUGCUUCAGACUUAUGUUUCAUCAAGUAGAUAUACCCAUAUCUGCUCAAAUCAUCUGUGAAGAUCAGAAAAUAAUGAUACCUGCUACGAGCCUCAAUAUUCAUCGGACCACAUACAUCUGUAUGUAUGAUUUCCAACAAAUCUGUUGCUCUCUCCAUAGUUCCGGAGAACGGCGUUUUAGUCAUCUUGCCCAUGAGGCACAGUUCGCAAGCAUCAAGUGAUUCAUAAUCAAGUGAUUCCAAAAUCCCAUCAGUAUGGAGUUUCUUCAUGCGCUUUACACCAAUAUGACCUAAACGGUAGUGCCACAAAUAAGUUGCAGUAUCAUUAUUAACUUUGCAUAUUUUGGCUUCAUUAUUAUGAAUAUGUGUAUCACUACGAUCGAGAUCCAACAAACCAUUUUCGUUGGUGUGUAUGACCAUAGAAGGUUUUUAUUCAUGUAAACAGAACAACAAUUGUUCUCUAACUUAAAUGAAUAACCGUAUUGCAAUAAACAUGAUCAAAUCAUAUUCAUGCUCAACGCAAACACCAAAUAACACUUAUUUAGUUUCAACACUAAUCCCGAAAGUAUAGGGAGUGUGCGAUAAUGAUCAUAUCAAUCUUGGAACUACUUCCAACACACAUCGUCACCUCGCCUUUUACUAGUCUCUGUUUAUUCUGCAACUCCCGUUUUCGAGUUACUACUCUUUAGCAACUAAACCAGUAUCAAAUACUGAGGGGUUUCUAUCAACACUAGUAAGUACACAUCAAUAACAUGUAUAUCCAAUAUACCUUUGUUCACUUUGCCAUCCUUCUUAUCCACCAAAUACUUGGGGCAGUUCCGCCUCCAGUGACCAGUUCCUUUGCAGUAGAAGCGCUUAGUCUCAGGCUUAGGUACAGACUUGGGCUUCUUCACUUGAGUAGCAACUUGCUUGCCGUUCUUUUUGAAGUUCCCCUUCUUCCCUUUGCCCUUUUCUUGAAACUAGUGGUCUCGUCAACCAUCAACACUUGAAGUGGUCUCGUCAACCAUCAACACUUGAUGUUUUUCUUGAUUUCUACCUUCGUCGAUUUCAGCAUCACGAAGAGCUCGGGAAUUACUUUCGUCAUCCCUUGCAUACUAUAGUUCAUCACGAAGUUCUACUAACUUGGUGAUGGUGACUAGAGAAUUCUGUCAAUCACUAUUUUAUCUGGAAGAUUAACUCCCACUUGAUUCAAGCGAUUGUAGUACCCAGACAAUCUGAGCACAUGCUCACUAGUUGAGCGAUUCUCCUCCAUCUUUUAGCUAUAGAACUGUUGGAAAUAUGCCCUAGAGGCAAUAAUAAAUGGUUAUUAUUAUAUUUCUUUGUUCAUGGUAAUUGUCUAUUGUUCAUGCUAUAAUUGUAUUGUCCGGAAAUCGUAAUACAUGUGUGAAUACAUAGACCACAACCUGUCCCUAGUAAGCCUCUAGUUGACUAGCUCGUUGAUCAACAGAUAGUCAUGGUUUCCUGACUAUGGACAUUGGAUGUCAUUGAUAACGGGAUCACAUCAUUAGGAGAAUGAUGUGAUGGACAAGACCCAACUUAAGCAUAGCAUAAAAGAUCGUGUAGUUUCGUUUGCUAGAGCUUUUCCAAUGUCAAGUAUCUUUUCCUUAGACCAUGAGAUCGUGCAACUCCCGGAUACCGUAGGAGUGCUUUGGGUGUGCCAAACGUCACAACGUAACUGGGUGACUAUAAAGGUGCAUUACGGGUAUCUCCGAAAGUGUCUGUUGGGUUGGCACGGAUCGAGACUGGGAUUUGUCACUCCGUGUGACGGAGAGGUAUCUCUGGGCCCACUCGGUAAUGCAUCAUCAUAAUGAGCUCAAUGUGACUAAGGCGUUAGUCACGGGAUCAUGCAUUGCGGUACGAGUAAAGAGACUUGCCGGUAACGAGAUUGAACAAGGUAUUGGGAUACCGACGAUCGAAUCUCGGGCAAGUAACAUACCGAUUGACAAAGGGAAUUGCAUACGGAUUGAUUGAAUCCUCGACACCGUGGUUCAUCAGAUGAGAUCAUCGUGGAGCAUGUGGGAGCCAACAUGGGUAUCCAGAUCCCGCUGUUGGUUAUUGACCGGAGAGGCGUCUCGGUCAUGUCUGCUUGUCUCCCGAACCCGUAGGGUCUACACACUUAAGGUCCGGUGAUGCUAGGGUUGUAGAGAUAUAUGUAUGCGGAAACCCGAAAGUUGUUCGGAGUCCCGGAUGAGAUCCCGGACGUCACGAGAGGUUCCGGAAUGGUCCGGAGGUGAAGAAUUAUAUAUAGGAAGUCCAGUUUCGGCCACCGGGAAAGUUUCGGGGGUUAUCGGUAUUGUACCGGGACCACCGGAAGGGUCCCGGGGGUCCACCGGGUGGGGCCACCUGUCCCGGAGGGCCCCGUGGGCUGAAAGUGGAAGGGAACCAGCCCUUAGUGGGCUGGGGCGUCCCCCUUGGGCCUCCCCCCUGCGCCUAGGGUUGGGAACCCUAAGGGGGGAGUUCCCCCUUGCCUUGGGGGGCAAGGCAACCCCUUCCCCCCUUGUGGCCGCCGCCCCCCUUGAGAUCCCAUCUCUUGGGGCCGGCGCCCCCCCAGGGGGCCUAUAUAAAGGGGGGAGGGAGGGCAGCAUACUACAGCUUUGGGCGCCUCCCUCCUCCCCUGCAACACCUCUCUCUCUCUCGCAGAAGCUCGACGAAGCCCUGCCGGAGACCCGCUACAUCCACCACCACGCCGUCGUGCUGUUGGAUCUCCAUCAACCUCUCCUUCCCCCUUGCUGGAUCAAGAAGGAGGAGACGUCGCUGCACCGUACGUGUGUUGAACGCGGAGGUGCCAUCCGUUCGGCACUCGGUCAUCGGUGAUUUGGAUCACGGCGAGUACGACUCCAUCAUCCACGUUCAUUGGAACGCUUCCGCUCGCGAUCUACAAGGGUAUGUAGAUGCAAUUCUUUCCCCUCGUUGCUAGUAGACUCCAUAGAUGCAUCUUGGUGAGCGUAGGAAAAUUUUAAAUUAUGCUACGAUUCCCAACAAGAACUUGUUGGAGACUUCAUAUCUCUCAACUCGGGUAUUUGCUUGAAAUAUUAACUUCAACUCCUGGAACAUCUUAUAUGGUCCAUGACGUUCAAAACGUCUUUGAAGUCCCGAUUCUAAGCCGUUAAGCAUGGUGCACUAGACUAUCAAGUAUUCAUCAUAUUGAGCUAGCCAAACGUUCAUAACGUCUGCAUCUACUCCUGCAAUAGGUCUGUCACCUAGCAGUGCAUCAAGGACAUAUUUUUUCUGCGCAGCAAUGAGGAUAAUCCUCAGAUCACGGAUCCAAUCCGCAUCUUUGCUACUAACAUCUUUCAACAUAAUUUUUCUCUAGGAACAUAUCAAAAAUAAACAGGGAAGCAACAACGCGAGCUAUUGAUCUACAACAUAAUUUGCAAAAUACUAUCAGGACUAAGUUCAUGAUAAAUUCAAGUCCAAUUAAUCAUAUUACUUAAGAACUCCCACUUAGAUAGACAUCCGUCUAAUCCUCUAAGUGAUCACGUGAUCCAUAUCAACUAAACCAUGUCCGAUCAUCACGUGAGAUGGAGUAGUUUCAAUGGUGAACAUCACUAUGUUGAUCAUAUCUACUAUAUGAUUCACGCUCGACCUUUCGGUCUCCGUGUUCCGAGGCCAUAUCUGUUAUAUGCUAGGCUCGUCAAGUUUAACCUGAGUAUUCCGCGUGUGCAACUGUUUUGCACCCGUUGUAUUUGAACGUAGAGCCUAUCACACCCGAUCAUCACGUGGUGUCUCAGCACGAAGAACUUUCGCAACGGUGCAUACUCAGGGAGAACACUUAUACUUUGAUAAUUUAGUGAAGAAUCAUCUUAUAAUGCUACCGUCAAACAAAGCAAGAUAAGAUGCAUAAAGGAUUAACAUCACAUGCAAUCAAUAUAAGUGAUAUGAUAUGGCCAUCAUCAUCUUGUGCUUGUGAUCUCCAUCUCCGAAGCACCGUGCUUGUGAUCUCCAUCUCCGAAGCACCGUCAUGAUCACCAUCGUCACCGGCGCGACACCUUGAUCUCCAUCGUAGCAUCGUUGUCGUCUCGCCACCUUAUUGCUUUUACGACUAUCGCUACCGCUUAGGGAUAAAGUAAAACUAUUACAUGGCGAUUGCAUCUCAUACAAUAAAGCGACAACCAUAUGGCUCCUGCCAGUUGCCGAUAACUCGGUUACAAAACAUGAUCAUCUCAUACAACACAUUAUAUCACAUCAUGUCUUGACCAUAUCACAUCACAACAUGCCCUGCAAAAACAAGUUAGACGUCCUCUACUUUGUUGUUGCAUGUUUUACGUGGCUGCUACGGGCUUAGCAAGAACCGUUCUUACCUACGCAUCAAAACCACAACGAUAGUUUGUCAAGUUGGUGCUGUUUUAACCUUCGCAAGGACCGGCCGUAGCCACACUCGGUUCAACUAAAGUGAGAGAGACAGACACCCGCCGGUCACCUUUAAGCAACGAAUGCUCGCAACGGUGAAACCAGUCUCGUGUAAGCGUACGCGUAAUGUCGGUCCGGGCCGCUUCAUCUCACAAUACCGCUGAACCAAAGUAUGACAUGCUGGUAAGCAGUAUGACUUAUAUCGCCCACAACUCACUUGUGUUCUACUCGUGCAUAGCAUCAACGCAUAAAACCAGGCUCGGAUGCCACUGUUGGGGAACGUAGUAAUUUCAAAAAAAAUCCUACGCACACGCAAGAUCAUGGUGAUGCAUAGCAACGAGAGGGGAGAGUGUUGUCCACGUACCCUCGUAGACCGACAACGGAAGCAUUAUCACAACGCGGUUGAUGUAGUCGUACGUCUUCAUGAUCUGACCGAUCAAGUACCGAACGCACGGCACCUCCGAGUUCUACACACGUUCAGCUCGAUGACGUCCCUCGAACUCCGAUCCAGCCGAGUGUUGAGGGAGAGUUUCGUCUGCACGACGGCGUGGUGACGAUGAUGAUGUUCCACCGACGCAGGGCUUCGCCUAAGCUCCGCAACGGUAUUAUCGAGGUGUAAUAUAGUGGAGGGGGGCACCGCACACGGCUAAGAGAUCUCAAGGAUCAAUUGUUGUGUCUCUGGGGUGCCCCCCUGCCCCCGUAUAUAAAGGAGCAAGGGAGGAGGAGGCCGGCCCUAGGAGGGGCGCACCAAGUGUGGAGUCCUACUAGGACUCCCUAGUCCUAGUAGGAUUCCACCUCCCAUAUGGAAUAGGAAUAGAGGAAGGGAAAAAGAGAAGGAAGGAAGGGGGCGCCCCCCUUCCCUAGUCCAAUUCGGACCAGACCAAGGGGAGGGGUGUGGCCACCCUUGAGGCCCUUUUCCUUCUUUCCCGUAUGGCCCAAUAAGGCCCAAUACGUAUUCCCGUAACUCUCCGGUACUCCGAAAAAUACCCGAAUCACUCGAAACCUUUCCGAAGUCCGAAUAUAGUCGUCCAAUAUAUCGAUCUUUACGUCUCAGCCAUUUCGAGACUCCUCGUCAUGUCCCCGAUCUCAUCCGGGACUCCGAACUCCUUCGGUACAUCAAAACUCAAUAAAACUGUCAUCAUAACGUUAAGCGUGCGGACCCUACGGGUUCGAGAACUAUGUAGACAUGACCGAGACACGUCUCCGGUCAAUAACCAAUAGCGGGACCUGGAUGCCCAUAUUGGCUCCCACAUAUUCUACGAAGAUCUUUAUCGGUCAGACCGCAUAACAACAUACGUUGUUCCCUUUGUCACCGGUAUGUUACUUGCCCGAGAUUUGAUCGUCGGUAUCUCGAUACCUAGUUCAAUCUCGUUAUCGGCAAGUCUCUUUACUCGUUCCGUAACACAUCAUCCCGCAACUAACUCAUUAGUCACAAUGCUUGCAAGGCUUAUAGUGAUGUGUAUUACCGAGUGGGCCCAGAGAUACCUCUCCGACAAUCGGAGUGACAAAUCCUAAUCUCGAAAUACGCCAACCCAACAAGUACCUUUGGAGACACCUGUAGAGUACCUUUAUAAUCACCCAUUUACGUUGUGACGUUUGGUAGCACACAAAGUGUUCCUCCGGUAAACGGGAGUUGCAUAAUCUCAUAGUCAUAGGAACAUGUAUAAGUCAUGUAGAAAGCAAUAGCAACAUACUAAACGAUCGAGUGCUAAGCUAACGGAAUGGGUCAAGUCAAUCACGUCAUUCUCCUAAUGAGGUGAUAUCGUUAAUCAAAUGACAACUUAUGUCUAUGGCUAGGAAACAUAACCAUCUUUGAUUAACGAGCUAGUCAAGUAGAGGCAUACUAGUGACACUCUGUUUGUCUAUGUAUUCACACAUGUAUUAUGUUUUCGGUUAAUACAAUUCUAGCAUGAAUAAUAAACAUUUAUCAUGAUAUAAGGAAAUAAAUAAUAACUUUAUUAUUGCCUCUAGGGAAUAUUUCCUUCAAGGACUACGACAGGGAGAUCCCUUAAGCCCUUAUCUUUUCCUAUUUGUGGCAGACGGACUUGCCACAUUUCUAAAAAACAAGGUGGAUAGCGGGGAAAUCUCACCUCUGAAGGUAGCACGAGGAAGCCCGGGUAUAUCCAACUUACUUUUUGCUGAUGAUAGUCUCCUAUUCUUCAAGGCUACCGAUGAGCAAGCAGUACGGGUCAAAGAGACGUUGGUUCUGUUCCAAAAAUGUACAGGUCAACUCUUGAGCGAGAGUAAAUGUUCCCUACUGUUCAGUGAAGUGUCCAGUGAACAUGAGAGGGAGGCGAUCAAGAGGAGACUAGGUGUGGAGUCAGCUACGUUUGAGAGCAAAUACCUAGGGCUACCCACACCGGAAGGAAGGAUGAAAGAUGAGAUGUUCCAGCCGAUAAUGGAUAGAUUUGGGAAGAGAUGCAAUGACUGGAACGAGAGAUUUAUGUCCAAAGCAGCAAAGGAAGUUCAUGUUAAGUCGGUUGCUCAAGGACUGCCAACUUUUGUUAUGGGGGUGUUUAAACUGAAUCAAAGCUUCUGUGAUAGCUAUGAGAAAAUCAUAAGGGAUUUCUGGUGGGGGGGUAAAGAUGAUCACCGGAAAGUGCAUUGGAUGGCGUGGAAGAAUAUGACUAAACCAAAAAGAGAUGGGGGUAUAGGUUUCAGAGAUAUGCAUCUAUUUAACCAAGCACUUUUAGCGAGACAGGGAUGGAGACUACUACAAAACCCAGACAGUCUAUGCGCCAGAGUACUUAAGUCUAAGUACUAUCCCAACGGAGAACUUGUGGACACGGUCUUUGCCUCAGAUGCCUCCCCUGCCUGGCGUGGGAUCGAAUUUGGCUUGGAGCUGUUAAAAAAAGGACUAAUUUGGCGCGUUGGAAACGGAAGGAAAAUACAAAUUAUAAGAGACCAGUGGAUCCCAAGGAGUUCUGGACUCAAAACUGCUAGCUACAUUCGGAGAUCAAGGUUAAGAUGGGUCAACCAACUGAUACUACCAGAUUCCAGAGAGUGGAAUACAGACCUCAUCAGACAAAUCUUUCACUCCUUCGAUGCAGACGAAAUUUGUAAGAUUCGGAUCCCGGCGAGAGAAGUGGAAGAUUGUAUAGCCUGGCACUAUGAAAAGACAGGGGUGUUCACUGUAAAAAGCGCUUACAAACUUGCAGACAUGCUGGAAAGAAACGGUACAGAGGGUCCAUCAAGCUCAACUAGUGAACCAGGAGAUAGAAGUGUUUGGGAUGUGAUCUGGAAAGCGAAGAUCCCGGAACGAAUCAAGAUAUUUGGGUGGAGGGUUGCCACUCAGUCUCUUGCAACCAAACACAACACACACAGAAGAACAAUUGUGCCUGAGGAUAUAUGCGACAUUUGUGGAACUGAACCAGAAGAUGAGUUCCACGCUGUUAUUUCAUGCACUCGCAGCAAGGCGUUGCGGAAUGGCAUGAGGUCAGCCUGGGAUCUGCCAAAAGAGCAAGAAUUUAGUAAAACUGGGAAAGACUGGCUGCAAUGUCUGCUCAUCCCACUUCCAGAUCAUGUCAGGAAUAGAACACUAAUGAUUCUAUGGAAAGCUUGGCAACUUAGGAAUAAUGUUAUACAUGGAGAUGGAAAGGAUACAGUGACAGGGGCCAUGAGACAACUGGUAAAGCUGGAUGAAGACCUGGAUGUAGCCGCAAAUGGCGAUGAGAAAACAGGAGGCAAAGGUAGUCUGUUAGUGUAUGCAGAGAGAAUAUGCAAACCAGCUGUGUCUGGAACAAACCAAUGGACACCCCCACCAAUGCAGUCAGCAAAACUGAACUCCGAUGCAGCAUUUUUACCAGAGUUUGCAAGAGCUUGGGAUGGAGCAGUCGCCCGGGAUCACAGAGGAACCCCAUUCCUAUCUGUGGGCUGCCAACUACAUCAGUGUAGGACGGUGGAAGCAGAAGCCUCGUCUGUUCUACUGGGUCUAGAUGAAAUGAGCAAGUAUUUUGAUGGGCAUCUAAUUGUAGAGACAGACUGUGCUACUGUAGGGCAUGAACUACAAAGAGAAGGAAGGAGCAGAUCGCCCUGGCGUGGAGUAAUAACAGACAUAAAGGAACGGAUGAGACACUUUGCCAGCGUGCAGAUUAGCAUUGUUAAGAGGAAUCAUAACAAGCUAGCACAUGAGAUUGCAGCGACGGCUAGAGAAUAUGGAAACCACUUCUUCCUAGCUGAAGUGCAUGACAACGUUAGACAAAGAAUGUUGUCGGAAUGUAACAACACCAACGCAUGAUUGUAUGCUUUGGUUCUAAAAAAAAAAAGAAGGGACGCCAAUGCUUUCCACGGGUGUCCAUGGAUGUGAAUGACGUCAUUCCACCAAUCUUUGACAUUGUGGAAUGGGUUGGGCCAUAUGGCCGAAGAGGCUAGAUACGAUUUUAGGCCCAUCAGAUGGACUGGCCCCAUGCAACAUCCUUCCUUGUCUCUGAAUAGGCCCAUCAGAACGCGCAAGGAGCAUUUUAACAAGUCUUCCCCUUCCUCUCGCCCAAUUUCCUCACCUGCCCCCGAGAAGAGAGAGAGAAAAUCAGCGAGACGCGAAUCAGCGGCGGCGAUGGCUCUCCCGGCGUCCAGCUCCACCCUCUCCCGCUUCCUCUCCUCCCGCCGCAUCCAGCCCACGGACGUCACCGCCCUCGCCACCUGGGGCAUCUUCGCCGGCAGCGCCGCCAUCUACCUCGUCCAGGUCCGUGUUGAAACUGUCCAUUCACGAUUACGCGUUCGAUCGUAUCCGCCGUCCGCCACUUUCGAGCCUUGCUUCCCCUCGCAUCCGUCGCCCGAUCCGUACAUAUGUUUGGUCUCUCGGUGUUAGGGUUUGGUUUCUCUAGAUCCGAUCUUGCCAUGCCUGUGUACUGUAGCUGCUGGUUGUUUGCCUAGAUCUACGGCGUGCUGGAUCGGUCUUCACGCCCGGCGAUCCGAGCGAGGUGAUGUGAUCUGGGAGGGAUUAUCAGAAGUUUAUUACGUGGUCAAACUUGUUGUUUGGAUCUAAUUAGUGCUCUAUUGGUAGGGUGGGAUUGUAUACGGUGGAGGAGAAGACCAAAGUGAUUAUGCGAUGGCAACAGAUUUAUUCUGGCGAACCCCUGUUUGUUAAGGUGCCUUGGUGAUAGGAACGUGCUGCAAUAAAUAGUUCAAGGCAAAUGCUGAAGUAGCCAUGGUCCUAUCUACAUCAUGCUAAC
rnacentral:lncRNA from 1 species